UGGGCGGCCGUUUUACAUCACCACGUUCUCAGAACAAAUUUACAUUUACCUCAGUUUGCUGGACGGGUGAUUUUGGGUAAGCGAUGUAAAAAGCAGGUAUAUUUAUAUAUGCAUCACCCAUUGGGUUAAAAUUCCAAAGAACCACGAGAUAAUAGCAAACAUCCUCCUGUUUGACUCGACCAAACAAAACUACGUUUAGAGCUCCAGCAAUAGAGCUAAACUAAAACAGAAACAAUAAACAAAAAUAUGCGCCAGGGGCAAACUCAAGCAACUCGACAAACAAAUAUCCAAGCACAAUCUUCUUUAUGUGGACCGACGAAUCCAGACCACGACAGCGAAAACUGAUAACAAAUAUCACCACGUUACCAAAGUACCGAGCAAAAACGACAUCCAUAUUGCAAUACAUGUCCUUGACGGGUAAUCUAGAGGCAGCAAACAUAGAUAAACAGCAACGAUAGCUCUAAGUGGCCUUGUCGGCCUUGGCAGCAGAGGCGGCAGCCUGGCCUCUGAGACGACCAGUCCUCCUGGCAGCGAUGAGACCAACCUUCUGGCCAGGUGGUGCAUCACGGCGGACAGUGGAAGCGUGACCAAUAUGCUGGUGGUUACCUCCUCCGUGGGGAUGCUCCACAGGGUUCAUGGCCACACCACGCACCUUAGGCCAGGAGUUCCUCUUCACGCGGUACUUGUGGUAGGCGUUACCAGCCUUGAGCAUUGGCUUCUCAGUCCUGCCACCACCAGCAACCUGACCAAUCAUGGCACGGCAGCUGCUUGGGACAAUCUUCUUGGCACCAGAGGGGAGCUUGAUCCUGCAUAAACAGAACAUGAGUAACUGUGUCUAAAUAUUUGUACAGCAGAAGAAUUCAUCAAAAGCAUCAGUCCAUCAGGCAACAUAACCAAAGAUACACAUAUGAUCUCGUACUGACAAGGAAAUGAUAACAAGAAAUGGUCCACGUAUAUGUAAACGCUAGUGAUCAUAAUUCUUAAAGCACGGUAAGCCAAUCUGAAGACAGAAGCAGGAUAAUAUAGUUAGAGAUCACAUGUCUAACAAGAUAACAGAAGAUAAAGCAUAUCAUGACAAGUUCAAGGAUAACAGAAGAAAGCAUAUCAUGUACAAUUCUAGGUUAACAGAAGAGCAAGCAUAUGGUAACAGCUGCAGAUUAUACAAUGAACAGGAGACAUCUCAAGGCUCAACGACAGAAUGAGUUCCUAAGAAUUUGUCUUUGAUAGAUUAACAAGCAUAUGAAGCACACACAUUUAAGGUUUCCAAUCUUUAAUCAAUUAAAGAGCAUCUAAAUCACCCAUGAGAAGCAGUGAACGAACAUAUAUUCAGAUCAAACUAUGAGCAUUUAAUCAUUUCCUACAGCAAAUCACAUACAUAAAAUCUAGUGACAGUUACUACCAGGAGAACGUCAGCUCUAACCAUGGUCAUGUACUUUAGAUAGAGGGGUGAGAGGAAAGGUAACAGUACCUUGAGGUGCCGUUGUCAGGGUUGUGGCUGAUGACGAUGGCGUAGUCACCGGAGGCCCUGGCGAAGACACCACGGUCGCCGACGUGGUGCUCGACGUUGCAGAUGACGCCUCCCUCAGGCACGGAGCGGAGCGGGAGGACGUUACCAACGGAGAGGGUGGCGCGGCGUCCGCAGUAGACGAACUGGCCGGUGUACAUACCCUCGGCGGCGACGAAGAGCUCCUUCUGGUGCUUGUACCUGAACGGGUGGCGGAAGGUCACCUUGGCCAGCGGCGCACCACGCCCCGGGUCGUGGAUGACAUCGGUGACGACGCCCUUGAGGUACCCGUUGCGCUCGCCGAAGUCGAGCGACCUGAAGCGGGCGGGGCCCUUGCGGUGGUGGGUGUGGGACUUGAAGACGGAGCCCGCACCCUUACGCUGAGCGCGGAUCACGCGACCCAUCUCGGCGGCGGCGGCGGCGGAGUGGCGGCGGCGGCGAGGGGAAUGGGUGGGCAGCUGGGCUAGGGUUCGACCAGGAGGAAGAGGGAGCAAUAUAUAGGGUGCGGCACGGGCUUUGUGGUUUGAUUACCCUAUAGGGUGGACGGUCGGGAUGGAGGAUGGGGCGCGUCUCGGCCGUUGGAUUCGUUUGGGCAGGCAGUAGGACCACAACGUCAGUGACAUAGCGUCGCCGGGCCGUGCUGUGAGGGACUGACGAAAUGAGGAGUGGACUGGGCUGUAAUGGGCCGGUUUGUUAGUGUAGUGGACUAGUGGGAAUGAGAAAUGGGCUGGUAAUAGGCCGAGUUCUCUUUGUACCAUUCUGGCUCCGCCCGUUUGAAGUGAUCAAAAAGUUGUGGUGUUGGGGAUUCUCAAAAAAACAAAAGUUGUGGUGUUGGGAGCGGCGAGCGAGCUGGAGCGCGCCUUUUUGUGCUACGGGACGAGAAGAAGGUCGACCAAUGGAGAAGGCAGAUGUUGAAGAACAUAAUUUUCUUUGGACGUGAAGAAUUUGCACACGAGCUCAAAUGCUUUUUGUGAACAGUAAAACCAGGAAAGAUAGUAAAAUAAAUUAUCCGAUUUUUUUGUAACCUUUGACAAAUGUACUAUGUGCUUGCAAAAAAUUAUCAUGAAUGAACAUUUCUGGAAGUCGUGGCAAAAAAGACAAAAUCAAUACUUCAAAAAUGCUAUUUUUGAAAGCAUUUUGGAGUACUUUUUUAAUUAUUUUUUUGCCAUGACUUCCACGAAAGUCAUUUCGUGACAAAAAUUUCAAGCAUAGAAAACAUUUGUUAAAGGUUACCACAAAAAGAAAUCAUUUUUUUUCUUUUGAUUUUACUGUUCAUCCCAGUUCAUUUAAGCUCGGGAGCAAAAAAACACUUUCGAUUUUCUUUCUUUCUUUAUAUAAAGACUACCCCAUAUACUAUUAAUUUAUGAUAAUGUUCUUAUGAUCAUUCUUCACAGCACAUGUCACCCAAGGCAAAGACACUACUAACCUACUACUAACGCAACCAUCAUCGUGGAACGCUACACUUACGGACAGAAUUGGUUACAGGAAGGGUACGGGCUGAUGUGGAGAAAUAUCAGGGGUUAGUUUAGAUUUAUAGUGGCCCACAAUGGAAAUUAGGGUGGGGCAGAGGAUUAAUAGGAAGGGGACACGUAUGUCCGUAACCUUCUUCCCGUGAUAACUCGCCCGUAGGUCUAGUAUUUUCGUGGCAAGUGGUAUAGGCACCUUUUUAUGUUUUUUGCUUUGUAUGAACUAUAGUCUAUUGCAUUUCAUCACUAUACCUUAAAGUCAGACCUAAUUAUAUCAGAUCUAUGCAUACUAAUAAAGGACGGUGCGUUCGGGAUUUUUGGUCCGUUCGACCUAGGUUGAAGAAGUUACCCCGCCUCAACAGUGAGAGUGUCUCAAGUUACAACGAAAUCAUAAAUACACUCAAAACUCUACCAUGGCGGAAAAUAAAUCUCGAGAAACUACAAAGAAACACGACGCCAAAAAUGCCUCGCCGUGGAGAGCGGAUGGAGUAGCAUCGCCACACGAAGAGCAGGUAACCACGCAUGCCGGAAGAAUGGCAAACACGUCGCUCACAGACUCGAUGAUAGAUCUGACACGCGAUCGCCUUCUUUAUCCAUCAACACCGGCAACGCUCGUUGACGGGUCCCUCGGCGUUGCUAACGAGCACAUGGGCGUGGCACAUACGCACAUCGUAGUGUGGCAUGUACCACCUCCCCACCAAUCGACGGGAAGAAGUUUGCAUCACCUACAAGCGGGAGGGCAAAGAAAAAGCACGGCGGGAGGAUAAGAACGGUGCCCCCACAUAUAGCACAACAACCCUACGAAACGUCAGGCGCAUGUCAAACAUACAUACCACAUCCCUGUCUGGACGCGCGGGCAUAGCAGGUGCACACGAGCACGGGCAAUGUGUCUAGGCGCUGAUACAUCUCAAACGUAUCUAUAUUUUUUGAUUGUUUCAUACUAUUAUAAUAUCACGUUUGGAUACUUUUUAUAUCAAUUUAUAUUGUUUUCUGGAUUAACCUAAUAAUUUUAGUGCCCAAACUAGUUUUUUUCAUGUUUUUGGUUUUCAGAAAAUCCAUGUCUACAGAGGUCAAAAGACCUUGAGGAUUUAAUAGGAUUUUUUUUGCGACCAGAAGAUUUCGGAAAGUGUCGGGACCUAUCAAGGGCCCACCCAGGGGCCCCACAAGGUCGGGUGGCGCGACCUAGGGCUAACCCGCGAUGGGUGGGCGCGUAUACCCCUGGCCACCACCUUCCGUCCAUUCUUUCACCUAUAAAUUCCAUAUUUCUUGAAACCCUCAACCCUCCGAGCAAAUUUUCUCCUUUAGGACCUUGGGGUCCAUAGCAGUACUUAGAUGGCAUCCUCUCUCUCACGCGUGAAUCAAUACAAUGUUCUCGUGAGCUGCCUUACAUGACCGGGAACCAUAUUAUGUAAUCAGUGUUGUGUUUGUCGCGAUAUGAUGAAUUGUCACUUUAUGAUCAGAUUUCAUUAAAAUCAAUUGAAUCUUUUGAAGUUUCUUUGUUGUGUAGUUGAAUAGCUUUGUAUGCUCUCUGAUUUAUUUGUCUCCUUUGGCCAAGUUUGAUGGGUAGUUAUUCUGAGGAAGUUGUGCAUUGUAGUGGGUUCAUAUCUUGCGGUAAUAUAUAUCCCAGUAACAGAAAGGGGCAAGACACACAUAUUGUAUUGUCGUCACCAAGGAUAAAAUGAUGGUUUAUUAAUCACACUUGGAUGAUAGCUUUGCUGUCUAUAUUAUAUCAUGUUGCUUAUUGCAACGCUCUGCUUGUCAUGAAUGUAAUACUUCAGAAUGCAUACUAGAUAGUAGUCCUGGGGUGGAGUAUUAGUUAUAGAUGCAGUUGGAUAACAACCUACAUAUCACGAACGUGCAUAUAUGAGAUUAUAUCGUUAAUGAUCAUAAUCAUAAAUAUAAAUAUUGCAAUUGUUCACCACACUACACUUGUAUGGUUGGAAAUAUGUCACUAGUAAACCUUGAAGGAAAUAUGCCCUAGAGGCAAUAAUAAAGUUGUUAUUUAUACUUCCUUACAUCAUGAUAAAUGUUUAUUGUUCAUGCUAGAAUUGUAUUGACAUAAAACUUAGUACACGUGUGGAUACAUAGACAAAACAGAGUGUCCCUAGUAUGCCUCUACUUGACUAGCUCGUUAAUCAAAGAUGGUUAAGUUUCCUAACCAUAGACAUGUGUUGUCAUUUGAUGAACGGGAUCACAUCAUUAGAGAAUGAUAUGAUGGACAAGACCCAUCCGCUAGCUUAGCAUAAUGAUCGUUUAAUUUUAUUGCUACUGCUUUCUUCAUGACUUAUACAUAUUCCUCUGACUAUGAGAUUAUGUAACUCCCGAAUACCGGAGGAACACUUUGUGUGCUAUCAAACGUCAAAAUGUAACUGGGUGAUUAUAAAGAUGCUCCACAGGUGUCUCCAAUGGUGUUUGUUGAGUUGGCAUAGAUCGAGAUUACGAUUUGUCACUCCGAGUAUAGGAGGUAUCUCUGGGCCCUCUCGGUAAUGCACAUCACUAUAAGCCUUGCAAGCAAUGUGACUAAGAGUUAUUUGUGGGGUGAUACAUUACGGAACGAGUAAAGAGACUUGCCGAUAACGAGAUUGAACUAGGUAUGAUGAUACCGACGAUUGAAUCUCGGACAAGUAACAUACCGAUGACAAAGAGAAUAGCGUAUGUUGUUAUGCGGUUUGACCGAUAAAGAUCUUCGUAAAAUAUGUAGGAGCCAAUAUGAGCAUCCAGGUUCCGCUAUUGGUUAUUGACCGGAGAUGUGUAUCGGUCAUGUCUACAUAGUUCUCGAACCCGUAGGGUCCGCACGCUUAACGUUCGAUGACGAUUUGUAUUAUGAGUUAUGUGAUUUGAUGACCGAAGUUUGUUCGGAGUCCUAGAUGAGAUCACGGACAUGACGAGGAGUCUCUAAAUGGUCGAGAUGUAAAGAUUCAUAUAUUGGAAGGUUAUAUUCAGACAUCGGAAUGGUUCCGAGUGAUCCGGGUAUUUUUCCGGAGUACAUAGGGGUUACCAGAACCCCCAGUGAAGUAUUGGGCCAACAUGGGCCUAAGGGAGAGAGAGGGAAGCCCACGGGAGGUGGUCGCGUGCCCCCUCCUUGGGAGUCCGAAUAGGACAAGGAGGAUGGGGCGGCGCCCCCCUUCCCUUUCCCUCUCCCUCUCCUUCCUAUUCCCUCCGGUGGAAGAAAGGAAAAGGGGGGAUCCUACUUGGACUAGGAGUCCAAGUAGGACACCCCCCAUGGUGCACCCCUCCUGGCUGCCAGCCUCUCCCCCCUCCUUUAUAUACGUGGCCAGGGGGUACCCCAAAGCACAACAGACAAUCUCUUAGCCGUGUGUGGUCCCCCCUCCAUAGUUUAACACCUCGGUCAUAUCGUCGUAGUGCUUAGGCGAAGCCCUGAGCCGGUAACUUCAUCAUCACUGUCGCCAUGCCGUCGUGCUGACGGAACUCUCCCUCAUCCCUCUAGUGGAUCAAGAGAUCGAGGGACGUCAUCGUGCUGAACGUGUGCUGAACACGAAGGUGCCGUACAUUCGGUACUUGGAUCGGUUGGAUCGUGAAGACGUUCGACUACAUCAACUGAAGGAAAUAUGCCCUAGAGGCAAUAAUAAAGUUAUUUAUAUUUCCUUAUAUCAUGAUAAAUGUUUAUUAUUCAUGCUAGAAUUGUAUUAACCGGAAACUUAGUACAUGUGUGAAUACAUAGACAAACAGAGUGUCACUAGUAUGCCUCUACUUGACUAGCUCGUUGAAUCAAAUAUGGUUAAGUUUCCUAGCCAUAGACAUGAGUUGUCAUUUGAUUAACGGGAUCACAUCAUUAGAUAAUGAUGUGAUUGACUUAUCCCAUUCCGUUAGCUUAGCACGAUGAUCGUUUAGUUUGUUUCUAUUGCUUUCUCCAUAACUUGUACAUGUUCCUAUGACUAUGAGAUCAUGCAACUCCCGAAUACCAGAGGAACACUUUGUGUGCUACCAAACGUCACAACGUAACUGGGUGAUUAUAAAGGUGCUCUGCAGGUGUCUCCGAUGGUGUUUGUUGAGUUGGCAUGGAUCAAGAUUAGGAUUUGUCACUCCGAUUGUUGGAGAGGUAUCUCUGGGCCCUCUCGGUAAUGUACAUCACUAUAAGCCUUGCAAGCAAUGUAGCUAAUGAGUUAGUUACGUGAUGUAGCAUUAUAGAACGAGUAAAGAGACUUGCCGGCAACGAGAUUGAACUAGGUAUUGAGAUAUCGACGAUCGAAUCUCGGGCAAGUAACAUACCGAUGACAAAGGGAACAACGUAUGUUGUUAUGCAGUUUGACCGAUAAAGAUCUCCAUAGAAUAUGUAGGAUCCAAUAUGAGCAUCCAGGUUCCGCUGUUGGUUAUUGACCAGAGAUGAGUCUUGGUCAUGUCUACAUAGUUCUGGAACCUGUAGGGUCCGCACGCUUAACGUUCGGUGACGAUCGGUAUUAUGAGUUUAUGUGUUUUGAUGUACCGAAGGUUGUUCGGAGUCCCGGAUGAGAUCAGGUACAUGACGAGGAGUCUCGAAAUGUUCGAGACAUGAAGAUCGAUAUAUUGGAAGGCUAUAUUCGGACAUCGGAAAGGUUCUGAGUGGUUCGGAUAUUUAUCAGAGUACCGGAGAGUUACGGGAAUUCGCCGAGGAGUAUAUGGGCCUUAGUGGGCUUUAGGGGAGAGAGAGGGGGGGCUGCCUAGGGCAGCCCCCUCCCCAAGGCCUAGUCCGAAUUGGACUAGGGGAGGGGCGGCGCCCCCUCCUUCCUUCUCUUCUCUCUCCCCUUUCCUUCUCUCCUACUCCUACUACAUGGAAGGGGGGAAUCCUACUCUCGGUGGGAGUAGGACUCCCCGGGGCGCGCCAUAGUAGAGGGCCGAGCCUCCCCCUGUUGGAGAACAUAGUAAUUUCAAAAAAAUUCCUACCCACACGAGAUCAUGGUGAUGUAUAGCAACGAGAGGGGAGAGUAUCGUCCACGUACUCUCAUAGACCGAAAGCGGAAGCGUUAGCACAACGCGGUUGAUGUAGGCGUACGUCUUCACGAUCCGACCGAUCCAAGUACCGAACGUACGGCACCUCCGAGUUCAGCACACGUUCAGCUCGAUGACAUCCCGCGAACUUCGAUCCAGCAGAGCUUUCCAUGAGAGUUCCGUGAGCACGACGGCAUGGUGACAGUGAUGAUGUUGCUACCGACGCAGGGCUUCGCCUAAGCACCGCUACGAUAUGACUGAGGUGGAAUAUGGUGGAGGGGGGCACCACACACGGCUGGAAUAGAUCAAUAGAUCAACUUUUGUGUCUAGAGGUGCCCCCUGCCCCUGUAUAUAAAGGAGCAACGGGGGAGAGGUGGUCGGCCAGGGAGGGCGCGCCAAGGGGGGAUUCCUACUCCCACCGGGAGUAGGACUCCUCCUUUCCUAGUAGGAGUAGGAGAAGGGGGGAAGGAGGAGGUGGAGAGAAGGAAGAAGAGGGGGGCCACCGCCCCCUUCCCUUGUCCAAUUCGGACUGGGGCAAGGGGGGCCGCGCGCCACCUCUUGGUUGCCCUCUCUCUUAUCCACCAAGGCCCAAUAGGCCCAUUACUCCGGUAAAAUCCCGAUUUCACCCGGAACACUUCUGAUAUCCAAAUAUAGGCUUCCAAUAUAUCAAUAUUUAUGUCUCGACCAUUUCGAGACUCCUCGUCAUGUCCGUGAUCAUAUCCGGGGCUCCGAACUACCUUCGGUACAUCAAAACACAAAACUCAUAAUACCGAUCAUCAUCUAACUUUAAGCGUGCGGACCCUACGGGUUCGAGAACUAUGUAGACAUGACCGAGACAUGUCUCCGGUCAAUAACCAAUAGCGGAGCCUGGAUGCUCAUAUUGGCUCCUACAUAUUCUACAAAGAUCUUUAUCGGUCAAACCGCAUAACAACAUACGUUGUUCCCUUUGUCAUCGGUAUGUUACUUGCCCGAGAUUCGAUCGUCGGUAUCUCAAUACCUAGUUCAAUCUCGUUACCGGCAAGUCUCUUUGCUCGUUCCUAAUACAUAAUCCCGCAACUAACUCAUUAGUUACAAUGCUUGCAAGGCUUAUAGUGAUGUGCAUUACUGAGUGGGCCCAGAGAUACCUCUCCGACAAUCGGAGUGACAAAUCCUAAUCUCGAAAUACGCCAACCCAACAAGUACCUUUGGAGACACCUGUAGUGCACCUUUAUAAUCACCCAGUUACGUUGUGACGUUUGGUAGCACACAAAGUGUUCCUCUGGUAUUCGGGAGUUGCAUGAUCUCAUAGUCAUAGGAACAUGUACAAGUUAUGGAGUAAGCAAUAGCAAAAUACUAAACGAUCAAGUGCUAAGCUAACGGAAUGGGUCAAGUCAAUCACAUCAUUCUCCUAAUGAUGUGAUCCCAUUAAUCAAAUGACAACUCAUGUCUAUGGCUAGGAAACAUAACCAUCUUUGAUCAAUGAGCUAGUCAAGUAGAGGCAUACUAGUGACACUCUGUUUUUCUAUGUAUUCACACAAGUAUUAUGUUUUCGGUUAAUACAAUUCUAGCAUGAAUAAUAAACAUUUAUCAUGAUAUGAGGAAAUAAAUAAUAACUUUAUUAUUGCCUCUAGGGCAUAUUUCCUUCAGUCUCCCACUUGCACUAGAGUCAAUAAUCUAGAUUACACGGUAAUGAUUCUCACACCCAUGGAGCCUUGGUGCUGAUCAUGUUUUGCUCGUGGAAGAGGCUUAGUCAAUGGGUCUGCAACAUUCAAAUCCGUAUGUAUCUUGCAAAUCUCUAUGUCUCCCACCUGGACUUGAUCCCGAAUGGAGUUGAAGCGUCUCUUGAUGUGCUUGGUUCUCUUGUGAAAUCUGGAUUCCUUUGCCAACUCAAUUGCACCAGUAUUGCCACAAAAGAUUUUCAUUGGACCCGAUGCACUAGGUAUGACACCUAGAUCGGAUAUGAACUCCUUCAUCCAGACUCCUUCGUUUGCUGCUUCUGAAGCAGCUAUGUACUCCGCUUCACAUGUAGAUCCCGCCACAACGCUUUGUUGAACUGCUCCAACUGACAGCUCCACCGUUUAAUAUAAACACGUAUCCGGUUUGCGAUUUAGAAUCGUCCGGAUCAGUGUCAAAGCUUGCAUCAAUGUAACCAUUUACGAUGAGCUCUUUAUCACCUCCAUAACCAAAGAGAAACAUAUCCUUACUCCUUUUUAGGUAUUUCAGGAUGUUCUUGACCGUUGUCCAGUGAUCCACUCCUGGAUUACUUUGGUACCUCCCUGCUAGACUGAUAGCAAGGCACACAUCAGGUCUGGUACACAGCAUUGCAUACAUGAUAGAGCCUAUGGCUGAAGCAUAGGGAACAUCUUUCAUUUUCUUUCUAUCUUCUGCAGUGGUCGGGCAUUGAGUCUUACUCAAUUUUACACCUUGUAACACAGGCAAGAAUCCUUUCUUUGCCCGAUCCAUUUUGAACUUCUUCAAAACUUUGUCAAGGUAUGUGUUUUGUGAAAGUCCAAUUAAGCGUCUUAGAUCUAUCUCUAUAGAUCUUGAUGCCCAAUAUGUAAGCAGCUUCACCGAGGUCUUUCAUUGAAAAACUCUUAUUCAAGUAUCCUUUUAUGCUAUCCAGAAAUUCUAUAUCAUUUCCAAUCAACCAUAUGUCAUCCACAUAUAAUAUUAGAAAUGCUACAGAGCUCCCACUCACUUUCUUGUAAAUACAGGCUUCUCCAAAAGUCUGUAUAAAACCAUAUGCUUUGAUCACACUAUCAAAAUGUUUAUUCCAACUCCAAGAGACUUGCACCAGUCCAUAAAUGGAUUGUUGGAGCUUGCACACUUUGUUAGCCCCCUUUCGAUCGACAAAACCUUCAGGUUGCAUCAUAUACAACUCUUCUUCUAGAAAUCCAUUCAGGAAUGCAGUCUUUACAUCCAUUUGCCAAAUUUCAUAAUCAUAAAAUGUGGCAAUUGCUAACAUGAUUCGGACGGACUUAAGCAUCGCUACGGGUGAGAAGGUCUCAUCGUAGUCAACUCCUUGAACUUGUCAAAAACCUUUUGCAACAAGUCGAGUUUUGUAGACAGUAACAUUACCGUCAAUGUCUAUCUUCUUCUUGAAGAUCCAUUUAUUCUCGAUGGCUUGCCGAUCAUCGGGCAAGUCAACCAAAGUCCACACUUUGUUCUCAUACAUGGAUCCCAUCUCAGAUUUCAUGGCCUCAAGCCAUUUUGUGGAAUCUGGGCUCACCAUCGCUUCCUCAUAGUUCGUAGGUUCGUCAUGGUCUAGUAACAUGACCUCCAGAACAGGAUUACUGUACCACUCUGGUGCGGAUCUUACUCUGAUUAACCUACAAGGUUCGGUAGUAACUCGAUCUGAAACUUCAUGAUCAUCAUCAUUAGUUUCCUCACUAAUUGGUGUGUCACAGGAACCAGUUUCUGUGAUGAAUUACUUUCCAAUAAGGGAGUUGGUACAGUUACCUCAUCAAGUUCUACUUUCCUCCCACUCACUUCUUUCGAGAGAAACUCCUUCUCAAGAAAGGAUCCAAAUUUAGCAACAAAAGUCUUGCCUUCAGAUCUGUGAUAGAAGGUGUAUACAACAGUUUCCUUUGGGUAUCCUAUGAAGACACAUUUCUCCGAUUUGGGUUCGAGCUUAUCAGGUUGAAGCUUUUUCACAUAAGCAUCGCAGCCCCAAACUUUAAGAAACGACAACUUUGGUUUCUUGCCAAACCACAGUUCAUAAGGUGUCGUCUCAAUGGAUUUCGAUGGUGCCCUAUUUAACGUGAAUGUAGCAGCCUCUAAAGCAUAUCCCCAAAACGAUAGCGGUAAAUCAGUAAGAGAUAUCAUAGAUCGCACCAUAUCUAGUAAAGUACGAUUAUGAUGUUCGAACACACCAUUACGCUAUGGUGUUCCGGAUGGCGUGAGUUGCGAAACUAUUCCGCAUUGUUUCAAAUAUAGACCAAACUCGUUACUCAAAUAUUCUCCUCCACGAUCAGAUCGUAGAAACUUUAUUUUCUUGUUAUGAUGAUUUUCCACUUCACUCUGAAAUUCUUUGAACUUUUCAAAUGUUUUAGACUUAUGUUUCAUUAAGUAGAUAUACCCAUAUCUGCUCAAAUCAUCUGUGAAGGUGAGAAAAUAAAGAUACCCGCCGCGAGCCUCAACAUCCAUCGGACCACAUACAUCAGUAUGUAUGAUCUCCAACAAAUCUGUUGCUCUCUCCAUUGUACCAGAGAACGGCGUUUUAGUCAUAUUGCCCAUGAGGCAUGGUUCUCAAGUACCAAGUGAUUCAUAAUCAAGUGAUUCCAAAAGUCCAUCAGUAUGGAGUUUCUUCAUGCGAUUUAUAUCAAUAUGACCUAAACGGCAGUGCCACAAAUAAGUUGCACUAUCAUUAUCAACUCUGCAUCUUUUGCCUUCAAUAUUAUGAAUAUGUGUAUCACUACUAUCGAGAUUCAACAAAAAUAGACCACUCUUCAAGGGUGCAUGACCAUAAAAGAUAUUACUCAUAUAAAUAGAACAACAAUUAUUCUCUGAUUUAAAUGAAUAACUGUCUCGCAUUAAACAAGAUCCAUAUAUAAUGUUCAUGCUUAACGCUGGCACCAAAUAACAAUUAUUUAGGUCUAAAACUAAUCCCAAAGGUAGAUGUAGAGGUAGCGUGCCGACUGCGAUUACUUCGACUUUGGAACCAUUUCCCACGCGCAUCGUCACCUCGUCCUUAGCCAAUCUUCGCUUAACCCGUAGUCCCUGUUUCGAGUUGCAAAUAUUAGCAACAGAACCAGUAUCAAAUACCCAGGUACUACUGCGAGCAUUAGUAAGGUACACAUCAAUAACAUGUAUAUCACAUAUACCUGUGUUCACCUUGCCAUCCUUCUUAUCUGCCAAAUACUUGGGGCAGUUCCGCUUCCAGUGACCAGUCUACUUGCAGUAGAAGCACUCAGUCUUAGGGUUAGGUCCAGACUUGGGUUUCUUCUCUUGAGCAGCAACUCGUUUGUUGUUCUUUUUGAAGUUCCCCUUCUUCUUCCCUUUGCCCUUUUUCUUGAAACUGGUGGUCUUGUUGACCAUCAACACUUGAUGCUCCCUCUUGAUUUCUACCUCCGCAGCCUUUAGCAUUGCGAAGAGCUCGGGAAUUGUCUUAUUUAUCCCUUGCAUAUUAUAAUUCAUCACGAAGCUCUUGUAGCUUGGUGGCAGUGAUUGAAGAAUUCUAUCAAUGACACUAUCACCCGGAAGAUUAACUCCCAGUUGAAUUAAGUGAUUGUUAUACCCAGACAUUUUGAGUAUAUGUUCACUCACAGAACUAUUAUCCUCCAUCUUGCAGCUGUAGAACUUAUUGGAGACUUCAUAUCUCUCAAUCCGGGCAUUUGUUUGAAAUAUUAACUUCAACUCCUGGAACAUCUCAUAUGCUCCAUGACGUUCAAAACGUUGUUGAAAUCCCGGUUCUAAGCCGUAAAGCAUGGCACACUAAACUAUCGAGUAGUCAUCAGCUUUGCUAUGCCAAACGUUCAUAACAUCUGGUGUUGUUCCUGCAGCAGGUCUGGCACCUAGUGGUGCUUCCAGGACAUAAUUCUUCUGUGCAGCAAUGAGGAUAAUCCUCAAGUUACGGACCCAGUCCGUGUAAUUGCUACCAUCAUCUUUCAACUUUGCUUUCUCAAGGAACGCAUUAAAAUUCAACGAAACAACAACACGGGCCAUCUAUCUACAACAACAUAGACAAGCAAUAUACUAUCAGGUACUAAGUUCAUGAUAAAUUUAAGUUCAAUUAAUCAUAUUAUUUAAGAACUCCCACUUAGAUAGACAUCCCUCUAAUCAUCUAAGUGAUCACGUGAUCCAAAUCAACUAAACCAUGUCCGAUCAUCACGUGAGAUGGAGUAGUUUCAAUGGUGAACAUCAUUAUGUUGAUAAUAUCUACUAUAUGAUUCACGCUCGACCUUUCGGUCUUAGUGUUCCGAGGCCAUAUCUGCAUAUGCUAGGCUCGUCAUGUUUAACCUGAGUAUUCCGCGUGUGCAACUGUUUUGCACCCGUUGUAUGUGAACGUAGAGCUUAUCACACCCGAUCAUCACGUGGUGUCUCAGCACGAAGAACUUUUGCAACGGUGCAUACUCAGGGAGAACACUUAUACCUUGAAAUUUAGUGAGAGAUUAUCUUAUAAUGAUAUCGUCGAUCUAAGCAAAAUAAGAUGCAUAAAAGAUAAACAUCACAUGCAAUCAAUAUAAGUGAUAUGAUAUGGCCAUCAUCAUCUUGUGCUUGUGAUCUCCAUCUCCGAAGCACUGUCAUGAUCACCAUCGUCACCGGCGCGACACCUUGAUCUCCAUCAUAGCAUCGUUGUCGUCUCGCCAACUAUUGCUUCUACGACUAUCGCUACCGCUUAGUGAUAAAGUAAAGCAAUUACAGGGUGAUUGUAUUGCAUACAAUAAAGCGACAACCAUAUGGCUCCUGCCAGUUGCCGAUAACUCGGUUACAAAACAUGAUCAUCUCAUACAAUAAAAUAUAGCAUCAUGCCUUGACCAUAUCACAUCACAACAUGCCCUGCAAAAACAAGUUAGACGUCCUCUACUUUGUUGUUGCAAGUUUUUACGUGGCUGCUACAGGCUGAGCAAGAACCGUUCUUACCUACGCAUCAAAACCACAAUGAUAGUUCGUCAAGUUAGUGUUGUUUUAACCUUCUAAAGGACCGGGCGUAGCCACACUCGGUUCAACUAAAGUGGGAGAAACUGACACCCGCCAGCCACCUAUGUGCAAACCACGUCGGUAGAACCAGUCUCACGUAAGCGUACGCAUAAUGUCGGUCUGGGCCGAUUCAUCCAACAAUGCCGCCGAACCAAAGUAUGACAUGCUGGUAAGCAGUAUGACUUGUAUCGCCCACAACUCACUUGUGUUCUACUCGUGCAUAUAACAUCUACGCAUAAAACCAGGCUCGGAUGCCACUGUUGGGGAACCUAGUAAUUUCAAAAAAAAUCCUACGCACACACAGGAUCAUGGUGAUGUAUAGCAAUGAGAGGGGAGAGUAUCGUCCAUGUACCCUCGUAGACCAAAACCGGAAGCGUUAGCACAACGCGGUUGAUGUAGUCAUACGUCUUCACAAUCCGACCGAUCCAAGUACCGAACAUACGGCACCUUCGAGUUCAGCACACGUUCAACUCGAUGACGUCCCGCGAACUCCAAUCCAGCAGAGCUUCAUGGGAGAGUUCCGUCAGCACGAUAGCAUGGUGACGGUGAUGAUGUUGCUACCGACGCAGGGCUUCGCCUAAGCACCGCUACGAUAUGACCGAGGUGGAAUAUGGUGGAGGGGGGCACCGCACACGGCUGGAAUAGAUCAAUAGAUCAACUUUUGUGUCUAGAGGUGCCCCCUGCCCCCGUAUAUAAUGGAGCAAGGGGGGAGAGGCCGCCGUCCAGGGAGGGCGCGCCAAGGGGGGAGUCCUACUCCGACCGGGAGUAGGACUCCUCCUUUCCUAGUAGGAGUAGGAGAAGGGGGGAAGGAGGAGGUGUAGAGAAGGAAGGAGAGGGGGGCCGCCGCCCCCUUCCCUUGUCCAAUUCGGACUGGGGCAAGGGGGGCCACGCGCCACCUCUUGGGUGCCCUCUCUCUUCUCUACUAAGGCCCANNNNNNNNNNNNNNNNNNNNNNNNNNNNNNNNNNNNNNNNNNNNNNNNNNNNNNNNNNNNNNNNNNNNNNNNNNNNNNNNNNNNNNNNNNNNNNNNNNNNNNNNNNNNNNNNNNNNNNNNNNNNNNNNNNNNNNNNNNNNNNNNNNNNNNNNNNNNNNNNNNNNNNNNNNNNNNNGUAACGCCCGGUAGUCCGGUAAAAUCCCGAUUUCACCCGGAACACUUCUGAUAUCCAAAUAUAGGCUUCCAAUAUAUCAAUCUUUAUGCCUCGACCAUUUCGUGACUCCUCGUCGUGUCCGUGAUCAUAUCCGGAACUCCGAAGUACCUUCGAUACAUCAAAACACAAAACUCAUAAUACCGAUCAUCAUCUAACUUUAAGCGUGCGGACCCUACGGGUUCGAGAACUAUGUAGACAUGACCGAGACAUGUCUCCGGUCAAUAACCAAUAGCGGAGCUUGGAUGCUCAUAUUGGCUCCUACAUAUUAUACGAAGAUCUUUACCGGUCAAAUCGCAUAACAACAUAUGUUGUUCCCUUUGUCAUCAGUAUGUUAGUUGCCCGAGAUUCGAUCGUCGGUAUCUCAAUACCUAGUUCAAUCUCUUUACCGGCAAGUCUCUUUACUCGUUCCGUAAUACAUCAUCCCACAACUAACUCAUUAGUUACAAUGCUUUCAAGGCUUAUAAUGAUGUGCAUCACUUAGUGGGCCCAGAGAUACCUCUCCGACAAUCGGAGUGACAAAUCCUAAUCUGGAAAUACGCCAACCCAACAAGUACCUUUGGAGACACCUAUAGAGCACCUUUAUAAUCACCCAGUUACAUUGUGACGUUUCGUAGCACACAAAGUGUUCCUCCGGUAAACAGGAGUUGCAUAAUCUCAUAGUCAUAGGAACAUGUAUAAGUCAUGAAGAAAGCAAUAGCAGAAUACUAAACGAUCAAGUGCUAAGCUAACAGAAUGGCUCAAGUCAAUCACAUCAUUCUCCUAAUGAUGUGAUCCCAUUAAUCAAAUGACAACUCAUGUCUAUGGCUAGGAAACAUAACCAUCUUUGAUCAACGAGCUACUCAAGUAGAGGCAUACUAGUGACACUUUGUUUGUCUAUGCAUUCACACAAGUAUUAUGUUUCCGGUUAAUACAAUUCUAGCAUGAAUAAUAAACAUUUAUCAUGAUAUGAGGAAAUAAAUAAUAACUUUAUUAUUGCAUCUAGGGCAUAUUUCCUUCACCCCCUCCUCGACUCCUUUAUAUACGGGGGAGGGGGGACCCCACGAACACACAAGUUGAUCAGUUGAUCUUUUAGCCGUGUGCGGUGCCCCCUCCACCAUAAUCCACCUCGAUCAUAUUGUAGCGAUCCGACCCGAAUGGAUCAAGUCUCUGUGCUUAAGUGUCAUCCCUGGAUCGGUAUGCUGACACACACAGUACUCGAGGAUUUAUAACAGAGGUAAAUCACAUGUAAAAAGUAACAUAAAUACUAUUACCUCAAUCCAAAUAGCGGAAGUAACAAGGUUGUGGAUUCCCAUCAACACCAACGACAAAGUUGAGUGUAGAAAUCAUAACCCUAACAUAUCACUUACUCGUCGUAAGAUUCCUACAACAUGAGACGUUGCAGCCACAAAGGGUCAGUAAUUGAAUGUACUGGCAAAUUCACACCAUAGAGAGAAAUGAUGAACAAUGGCUAUCACUACAUGCAUAUUUGGCUGGUGGAAAAGCUCUAUGGUUAUAGUUUUUGCGAAAAGCCAAUUUUUCCCUGCUAAAAAGGAAUAAAUUUUAUUUUUCCCUGCUAAAAAGGAAUAAAUUUUAUUUGACUAUCAAUUUGAACCAUAGGAUGAUCACACGGUAACCCCGGGAUCUCCUAGGACAACACUGGUAUAUCCCCAGGUGUCCGGGCAAGUCCACUGGUAUAUCCCCAGGGUGCCCCUAGCAAUCCACCCAGAUGUGUAUUAAAGUUGCCACCUUAAAUUGAACCAUUAAUUAACAAUCUCACAUCUGUCAUGAAAUACUCUCAAACCCAAUCCACGUCUACGAGCAGCAUGGCAAUGUAAGCAAAAUGUAAUAGUAACUCCCAAGGUUUGAAUGCAGGGCAAUAGGUUCCUACCUCAUCAACUACUUCCCAAUACCCACAUGUUAUCAAUCCUACUCAUGCAAUGUUUGAGGGUGAAACUAAUGCAUAAAAACUGGGUAUGAAAGGGAAUAUGAUCAAAGUGUGAACUUGCCUGCAAUGUUGAUGAAGAUGAUUCGCACUCAAAACUCUUGAUAGAUCUACUCGUCUCACUCCGGUCAACCUAUCGUAAGCAAGCAAUAGUAACCACACAUAAGCAAUCACUCAAAGAUCAGAAAGAUCGAAGAAGACAAUUCGGAAAACAUCAAAACCAAGCAAAUAACUCUUGCAACAUAAAACAAUUUCUAACAGUACCAAAAUUAUAUGAAUUUGGCCUUAUCAUAAAGUUUAGGUCAAGAGCUUCGAUUUGCAAAAGAAUCAACUCAAACGGAGCUACGAAACUCAUGUUAAGAUCAAACGAAGUUUGAAUUAAAAUCUGAUCUAAUUCAAAUUUUUAAACUUUUCAAAAACAUAUUUGAGUUGGAUUACUGGAUAGAGGGGAUCAUAACGAAGACGUGAGCGUUGGUUUUGUUGCAUUUGGACUAACGAGCAAAAAGUUACGGUGUUUUGAAGAUCAGGGGCUAUUCUGCAAAUAAGUUAUUCACAAAUGGGUCCCUGGCCGAAAUUAAAAGAAAAGAAAAAACCUAUUUAAUGAACGUUCGCUAUAGAGGCACAUUCGAAGAAAACCGUUCACUAAAGAGGCCUAACUGGUGAACACUUGCAAAAUAAACUAAACUAAAUAUAUAAAACCGUUUUAAAAGAAAAACCGAUAAAAAACCGAAGAAAAACCGGGGUAGGUUAACUCGGUUUAUACCGGUUCAAGGAAAAAGUAUGGCGGCGGCGGCGGUUAACUCCGGCGGGCGGCAUGGCAAGACGGCGGCUCCGGCGAAGUGAUGCGGCAGCGGCGGCGGCACUGCAAGGCGGCGGAGCUUGCAGCGGCGGCGGCGGCGUCAGCGUCGCGGCAGCGGGCGAAGGUGNNNNNNNNNNNNNNNNNNNNNNNNNNNNNNNNNNNNNNNNNNNNNNNNNNNNNNNNNNNNNNNNNNNNNNNNNNNNNNNNNNNNNNNNNNNNNNNNNNNNNNNNNNNNNNNNNNNNNNNNNNNNNNNNNNNNNNNNNNNNNNNNNNNNNNNNNNNNNNNNNNNNNNNNNNNNNNNNNNNNNNNNNNNNNNNNNNNNNNNNNNNNNNNNNNNNNNNNNNNNNNNNNNNNNNNNNNNNNNNNNNNNNNNNNNNNNNNNNNNNNNNNNNNNNNNNNNNNNNNNNNNNNNNNNNNNNNNNNNNNNNNNNNNNNNNNNNNNNNNNNNNNNNNNNNNNNNNNNNNNNNNNNNNNNNNNNNNNNNNNNNNNNNNNNNNNNNNNNNNNNNNNNNNNNNNNNNNNNNNNNNNNNNNNNGUGGCGGCACGAGGCGAGAGGCGGCGGGGCUGCGGUGCGGCAGUGGCGGCGUGGCGGCGCAGUGCGGUGAUGCGGGGAGGAGCGGGGUCGAGGGCGCAGCGUUGGGGGCCCGGUGCUCCGCUAUUUAAGGAGGAAGAGGAGGCGCAAGGCGUGGGCGAGGGGCAAGGGCGGCGCGGAGUCCGGCCAUGGGACGGCGGUGGCGCGUGCCCGAGCGGGUCUCCCGCUCGGGAGGAGGGAGGCGGUGCGGCUGGGCUGGGCCGGGGCCUGGCUUCGGCUGGGCCGGCCCAGUCGGCGAGGGAAAACCUUUUUUUAACAAAAAACACAUUUUUUUAGAGAACUAAAAUAAUAAAAACAAAAUAACUAAAAAUAUUACAUAGGCAUAUAAUAUACCAAAAUUUGCAGAAAAAGAUUUUCUACAACAUGGACAUUUUUAUAAUGCCAAAUAAAAUCCACGCAAAUUCAGAUAAAUCAAAGAGUGCUACUGGUCUAUUAAAAUCCAAAAAAAAUCAUUUAAAAAAACCAAAAUGAUUUCAAAUUUAUUUCUCUCCAAUUUUCUAUUGUAGGGAAUCAUGUUACCCUAAUUUCCAUAUAUUUUAUUUUUGGAGAAAAAUAAUUUGAAUAAAACUCAAAUAACUCCAAAUUGAAAAUAAAUUCAAAAGAACUUUGAAUUUAAUUCUUUGAAACUCCCAACUCAUAUUUCAUAUAAUUUGAAGAAGUCAUUUUAUCUUCGCUCUUGAAAAUCAUUGAGUUGCAUAAAGUUUCUGGAUUGGAAAUAUUUCCAAAUAAAAUUCAAAUAUUUUCAAAACCCCUUUUUCAUUUAAAUAAAUGGAAGAAGUCAUGUCAUCUUCUCUCCAGGGUUUUGUGGUGAAAAUAAUUUGAAUUCACGGGGAGCAAGAUGAAAGUUUGGGAAAGUCCUUUUAUUCCCUCUCAUUUAACUUUCAAAAAGUUUCGAAUUUCACUCACUUUCAGUCAAUCAAUCAAACAGUCAAUCAAAUCUAUCUAUUUAAUAUAACAUUCCAAAAUUUAGAAUUUUGGGAUGUUACAAACCGACCACCCUUAAAAGGAAUCUCGUCCUCGAGAUUCGGAGAGGCUAGAAAGAAAAGGUUAUGUUCAGGGUCUCUUCAAGAUUUCAUCAAUCGUCUCCGGGGUCUGGGGUGCUACCACCCUUAAAAACAUUGUUACAGUCCCAUCAAUACUCAUAUACUCCAUCCUUAUUCUUGACAGGGCCGGUCUUCUUAGAUCUUCGAGAAAAUUCCUUCUCUGAGCUCUUCCGGUAGUGGCAUAACCUUUUUCUCAAUUCUUCUAUCUUUCAUCUAGGUAAGGUUAUUCUGAGAUAGGGUCUUCUUAGUUGACGGGUCUGGCGCCAAAACUAAACAACUAUCGAUAUCUCAUGGUGGUCAACCAUUUAUGGUUUCUCCUGCAGGAAAUGGGUCUGGGUUGAAUCUCACCGUAUAACCUACGGUUGGCAACAACUGCCGUGUACAAGGGAAAAAUUCUUAUACCAUUCUAAGGUUUAACAAGGUUUAAUAUCGUCGUCUCUCUACUAUAGGCAAGUCACUCAGAUUUACCAUCCCAUAUAGCAAGGCGAAUAAUAAGAGUAAGUCGUUAUGGUGAUCAAGCCGUCCCGCACCCAAAUCAUUACCCUGUAUAUGCUUUAGUGAAUCUCGCAUUCUAACACUCGGUCAUCCUCACAAGCAUUGCAGAAUUUCUCUUGUCGACGAACCAAGUUCGGAUAAAUCCAUAGAUUCUGCAAGCCAAACAACCAUCUAUCAUUCCUUCACAACUCUCAGGUUUUGCGUAACUCCUAUAAGAUCGUCUGUCAAAAAAAUCGUAACUUCUUUCAAGGUUUUUUCCUUCAGCAAGAAUGUGCUUGCUUCUUGGCAGGUCCUGGGGCAUGUGGGUUAUGGCCCAUCUCAUCACUUGUAGUCCUUGAACUUAUCAUCGGGCAACUGAUCAUUGUUCCAACUUCCUAGUAUUCUUAAAUCCAUCCAAUUGUACUGUCUUCCUUCCUUCUAUUGGCACCAAACCAAGGCGCGAGUAGUCAGACUUGUCAUGGGGUUGCCAUUGCUCCAUAUUACCAACAUCAUACCUCCUUUAUAUCCAAUAGUACUUCAUCUCUUCAUCCUCGUGGGAUAUCCCACAUACCGAGAUAAAAAAAACUUAUACUUAUGAAGUCCAUACUCUACGUCGUGGAACAUCAUUAUCCUUUCUAGGGUCAAGCGUCCUUACAGGCGAAUAUUGGCCAUCUCUGCAUGACACUUCUUCAACUGGGAAACAUGAAACACAUCAUGAACUCCUGACAGUCCUUCGGGUGACUCCAACUUGUAGGCCACUUCUCCCAUACGCUCCAAAACUCGGUAUGGUCCUACAAAUCUCGGGACUAACUAUCCCUUAACUCCAAUCCGUUUAACUCCUCGCAUAGGGGACACACGAAGACAUGAUCUGUCUCCAAUUUCAUAGACUACCUCCUUGAGUUUUUUUGAGUCUACAUAACUCUUCUGCCUGGACUGAGCUACCUUCAGUCUAUCUCGAAUCAACUUAACAUUCUCUUCUAACUCCUUGAUCACAUUUGGUCCAAACAACUAACGGUCUCCAACUUCAUCCCACAUACUCUUGGGGCAUCACACAUAUCGAGACAAAACUCGUAUUCAUUUUGUCCAAAAUCCACUCAGUGGAGUAUCCUUAUCUUUUCCAGGGGUCAACGGUUCUUACAGGGUACUACCACCCUUAAAAUGCACAAAUCUUCCAUAGACCAUAUUUCUCUUAUCCUCAAAAUGGUCAAAAUCCUUCUUCAUAGAGUAACAACUCAUAAAAUCCAUAUCAGUACCAACGAUGCUACUUCAUUCAUUCUCAAAUGAUUACAAUCUCUCGCUUCUCCAUUACAUGUCUCAACUCAACACCUCAAUAUAGAAGAAAAAUGUUCUCACUUCUACUACUCCAUUUCUUUUGUUGCAAACUCAACUAUCUAGCACAAGUUUCCUUCUCCUUAGGGCAUUCUCUGGCAAAGUGCCUUGCUCCAUUACAACUAAAACAUAUUACUUCUGACAAGUCUCGAGGUUUCCUUUUUGGGCAACUGUUGAGGUAGUGCCCUGACUCCUUGCACCUGUAACAGGUGAUAUGACUCAGGUCCUUCCUGGUAUCCAAUCUACUUCUCUUCCUGGACCUUUCCAUGCCAAUCAUGGCUUCUAUUUCUUGUGGGUCAUACUCUACUUCCUCCACCGGGAAUUCUACUAGAUCCCCAUUCAAACAAUUUUGGGAGAUGUGUCCUUCUUCUCCACAUGAAUAACAAGACUUAGUGCAGGGUUUACUCGAUCCUCUUUAGGUGUGUCCUCCACAUCUUCCUUCAUCACAGUUUCUUCUAAAAUUUCCAUGAGGGCUCCUUUCAUUACUUCUUUCUUCUGUUGGAUGGUUCGUUGUACCAUGGGGUAAAUGUGACACUAAGCAGGAUAGUGGGUAGUCCCUUCACACAAGAAACAAGAAAUCUGCCUAAUUGGGCAUUCUUCAACUGGGUGACUUCCUUCACAAUUAGGGCAUUCAUCCUUGUGUCCUUUAUGGGUGCGUCCAAUUUCUCCACAAAUCUUGCAUGCACAAUGUUUCUUCAUAUCCUUUCCAUAAGGCUUCAACUUCUGGGAAACAAUCCGAGACUUGGGCAGAGUCAACUUAAAAUCUUUCCAAGUGGUUACUCCUUGCCAUCCAUUGAUGGUUUGGUACAUCCUCCACCAAGUAUCAACACCUCUUUCAAAGCACCAAAGAGCAUGCUGGAUCAUAUCCUUUCCAACUAUAGGGUAAUUCUUCAUGUGAUCCUCCAUGUUCUGAAUCCAUUGGUCCGUCUCCAAUUGACUCAUCGGUCCAGAAAAUAUAAGCUCACCUUCAUUCAUCCUCUAUUGGGUCCAUGGGUUUGGGGUAAGAUAAGAGAGAUAGAGAGGGAUACACACAAUACAAACAAAAGUUUUGAAAAGACAGAUUUUAUUUGUGACUGUCGGGAAAAACAUCAAACAAAUGAUAGCUCACAAACAUCGCAUCUAACGUAGGUAUAUAACAGGGGUUUGGUUUUCUAAAGGUCAAUAAAUCUUCAACGUCGUCUAACUCUUCAAGUCUUGUUCAUGCCUCCAAUGGCUUCUUCCGAUCAUGCUUGUCUUUCUCAAGUUCUUUUGCCAGAUCAACUCUGUUGACGCGAAGUCUCUCGUGACAUCCUUUAAUAUUCCGGAGUUGCAUUCCAAACUUCUAGGUUUUAACAUCCUUGGCAUGAGCCAUGAUCAUACUGUCUUUUAGUUCCUGACAAAUCUCCAGUAUCUCGAGGUUGUAGCUCCUCCAGCUUGGCUGCUUUCAGCUUUUGUUUCCUGAGUUUUCCACGAAAUGCUUCCUUGUCUAAUACGGCUUCAUGGAGCUCCACCUUAAACUUCUUGAUGUACUACUCCAGAUCCUGGUGAUACACCAGCUAAGGUUAAAACUUCAUCUUACUGUUAGGUGCUCCAUCAGCCUUCUACCAUCCAAUCCUUCCGAAGAAAUGCAUGCUUAGCUCAGCUCGGUGACCAUAGUAUCAGUGGCGAUGACAUCACGGAUAACCGUGUUUCUGCCCUUGUCAUUGCCAGGAGCUAUCUUCCAUAGUUGAUAUCUCCUACCUUAGGGUUUUCUUGACAAAACUUUGAGCUCUCAACUCUCCAUGUUCCAGUCUUUCUCCCAUACACCUUGAUCUCGGGUAUUGACAGCUUCCAUAGUCUGCCAAGUUCCAUAAGGGGUAGCCUUCCUAGGUCAUACAAAUCUGGGGAUUCUUCAGAGCCUUCAAAUUCUACUUGUCUUCGGUCUUCAACCGUUGUAGUUUCCAUUAUUCAGAUGCACGGAAAAUACUCUUCAUUCCGAAGUGGUCUUAGUUGUCCGAUAUCUUGUACUUCUUGGAGUGGUCUCAUCAGUCGAAUCUUCGUGGGGUCAAAAGGGGAAAAGGGGUAGGGUCUCACUAAAGGGAAUUUUGAAUAAGCUCAGAAGAGAAGAGAGGUAAAAGACCCUUUUGAAGAGUAAAGUUUUAGAGAAAAAUCUUUGCUAUGGGCUUGCCAGUUUCUAGGGUCACGUCCUACAGUCAACAUGUGCUCUGAUACCAUCUUGUAGCGACCCGACCCGAAUGGAUCAAGUCUCUGUGCUUAAGUGUCAUCCCUGGAUCGGUAUGCUGACACACACAAUACUCGAGGAUUUAUAACAGAGGUAAAUCACAUGUAAAAAGUAACGUAAAUACUAUUACCUCAAUCCAAAUAGCGGAAGUAACAAGGUUGUGGAUUCCCAUCAACACCAACGGCAAAGUUGAGUGUAGAAAUCGUAACCCUAACAUAUCACUUACUCGUCGUAAGAUUCUUGCAACAUGAGACGUUGCAGCCACAAAGGGUCACUACAUUGAAUGUACUGGCAAAUUCACACCAUAGAGAGAAAUGAUGAAUAAUGGCUAUCACUACAUGCAUAUUUGGCUGGUGGAAAAGCUCUAUGGUUAUAGUUUUUGCGAAAAGCCAAUUUUUCCCUGCUACAAAGGAAUAAAUUUUAUUUAACUAUCAUGGUGGUUGUUGAACAUUGAGAAUGGUUGACAACAUUCUCAAUCCCAAUUAAAUAACAUCAUUAAACCCAACAAACUUAAUUUAAAGUAACGUGAUGAGAUUCACAUGAUAAUCCAAGUACUAGAUACUCAAAACAUCCAUAACCGGGGACACGGCUAAUCAUGAUUAGGUUAUACACUCUGCAGAGGUUUGCGCACUUUUCCCCACAAGACUCGAUCUCCUCCGUUGGAUUUCUCGCACUACAUGGUGUUUGAGAAACGGAUGACCGAGACAUACUCUUUCAGAAGCGUUUGCACCUUACGAUGGGUAGACCGUACCACCUACAACCCCUACAUCUGCUAGUCUACCACUAUAAGAGUUCACACGACUUAAUCAACUAUGCUAGAGCCCAUAAUAGCUUGUGGCUGCACACGGAAGUUUCUAGCAUGAAUAAUCUUAUGAUCCCAUUGAGCCUGGGUGGCAAACCAUAGGAUGAUCACAUGGUAACCCGGGAUCUCCUAGGACAACACUGGUAUAUCCCCAGGUGUCCGGGCAAGUCCACUGGUAUAUCCCCAGGGUGCCCCUAGCAAUCCACCCAGAUGUGUAUUAAAGUUGCCACCUUAAGUUGAACCAUUAAUUAACAAUCUCACAUCUGUCAUGAAAUACUCUCAAACCCAAUCCAUGUCUACGAGCAUAGCAUGGCAAUGUAAGCAUAACGUAAUAGUAACUCCCAAGGUUUGAAUGCAGUGCAAUAGGUUCCUACCUCAUCAACUACUUCCCAAUACCCACAUGUUAUCAAUCCUACUCAUGCAAUGUUUGAGGGUGAAACUAAUGCAUAAAAACUGGGUAUGAAAGGGAAUAUGAUCAAAGUGUGAACUUGCCUGCAAUGUUGAUGAAGAUGAUUCACACUCAAAACUCUUGAUAGAUCUACUCGUCUCACUCCUGUCAAUCUAUCGUAAGCAAGCAAUAGUAACCACACAUAAGCAAUCACUCAAAGAUCAGAAAGAUCGAAGAAGACAAUUCGGAAAACAUCAAAACCAAGCAAAUAACUCUUGCAACAUAAAACAAUUUCUAACAGUACCAAAAUUAUAUGCAUCUGGCCUUAUCAGAAAGUUUAGGUCAAGAGCUUCGAUUUGCAAAAGAAUCAACUCAAACGGAGCUACGAAACUCAAGUUAAGAUCAAACAAAGUUUGAAUUCAAAUCUGAUCUAAUUCAAAUUUUUAAACUUUUCAAAAACAUGUUUGAGUUGGAUUAAUGGAUAUAGGGGAUCAUAAUGAAUACGUGAGCGUUGGUUUCGUUGGAUUUGGACUAACGAGCAAAAAGUUACGGUGUUUCGAAGAUCAGGGGCUAUUCUGCAAAUAAGUUAUUCACAAACGGGUCCCUGGCCGAAAUUAAAAGAAAAGAAAAAACCUAUCUAAUGAACGUUCGCUACAGAGGCAUAUUCGAAGAAAACCGUUCACUAAAGAGGCCUAACUGGUGAACGCUUGCAAAAUAAACUAAACUAAAUAUAUAAAACAGUUCUAAAAGAAAAACCGAUAAAAAAACCGAAGAAAAACCGGGGUAGGUUAACUCGGUUUAUACCGGUUCAAGGAAAAAGUCCGGUGGCGGCAGCGGUUAACUCCAGCGGGCGGCAUGGAAAGACGGCGGCUCGGGCGAAGUGAUGCGGCAGUGGCGGCGGCACUGCAAGGCGGCGAAGCUUGCAGCGGCGGCGGCGGCGUCAGCGGGCGAAGGUGCGGUGGCGGCACGAGGCGAGAGGCGGCGGGGCUGUGGUGCGGCAAUGGCGGCGUGGCGGCGCAGUGUGGCAAUGCGGGGAGGAGCGGGGUCGAGGGCGCGGCGUUGGGGGCCCGGUGCUCCGCUAUUUAAGGAGGGAGCGGAGGCGCAAGGCGUGGGCGAGGGGCAAGGGCGGCGCGGAGUUCGGCCAUGGGACGGCGGCGGCGCGUGCCCGAGCGGGUCUCCUGCUCGGGAGGAGGGAGGCGGUGCGGCUGGGCUGGUCCGGGGCCUGGCUUCGGCUGGGCCGGCCCAGUCAGCGAGGGAAAACCUUUUUUUUAACAAAAAACACAUUUUUUAGAGAACUAAAAUAAUAAAAACAAAAUAACUAAAAAUAUUACAUAGGCAUAUAAUAUACCAAAAUUUGCAUAAAAAGAUUUUCUACAACAUGGACAUUUUUAUAAUGCCAAAUAAAAUCCACACAAAUUCAGAUAAAUCAAAGAGUGCUACUGGUCUAUUAAAAUCCAAUAAAAAAUCAUUUAAAAAAACCAAAAUGAUUUCAAAUUUAUUUCUCUCCAAUUUUCUGUUGUAGGGAAUCAUGUUACCCUAAUUUCCAUAUAUUUUAUUUUUGGAAAAAAUAAUUUGAAUAAAACUCAAAUAACUCCAAAUUGAAAAUAAAUUCAAAAGAACUUUGAAUUUAAUUCUUUGAAACUCCCAACUCAUAUUUCAUAUAAUUUGAAGAAGUCAUUUUAUCUUCGCUCUUGAAAAUCAUUGAGUUGCAUAAAGUUUCUGGAUUGGAAAUAUUUCCAAAUAAAAUUCAAAUCUUUUCAGAACCCCUUUUCAUUUAAAUAAAUGGAAGAAGUCAUGUCAUCUUCUCUCUAGGGUUUUGUGGUGAAAAUAAUUUGAAUUCACGGGGAGCAAGAUGAAAGUUUGGGAAAGUCCUUUUAUUCCCUCUCAUUUAACUUUCAAAAAGUUUCGAAUUUCACUCACUUUCAGUCAAUCAAUCAAACAGUCAAUCAAAUCUUUCUAUUUAAUAUAACAUUCCAAAAUUUAGAAUUUUGGGAUGUUACAAACCGUAGCGGUGCUUAGGCGAAGCCCUGCGUCGGUAUCAUCAUCAUCGUCGUCAUCAUGCCGUCGUGCUGACGGAACUCUCCCUCGAAGCUCUGCUGGAUCGGAGUUCGUGGGACGUCACCGAGCUGAACGUGUGCUGAACUCGGAGGUGCCGUACGUUCGAUACUUGGAUCGGUCGGAUCGUGAGGACGUACGACUACAUCAACCGCGUUCUCAUAACGCUUCCGCUUACAGUCUAUGAGGGUACAUAGACAAUAUUCUCCCCUCUCAUUACUAUGCAUCACCAUGAUCUUGCGUGUGCAUAGAUUUUUUUUUGAAAUUACUACGUUCCCUAACAGUGGCAUCCGAGCCAGGUCUAUGCAUAGAUGUUAUAUGCACGAGUAGAACACAAAGGAGUUGUGGGCGUGAGUAUAUACAUAUUGCUUACCGUCACUAGUUGAUUCUUGAUUCAGCGGUAUUGUUGGAUGAAGCGGCCCAGACCGACAUCACGCGUACGCUUACACGAGACUGGUUCAACCGACGUGCUUCGCACACAGGUCACACACAAGGUUCUUUCUAAAGAUCAAAAAGCAAUCACUAUAUCGCGUUGUGGUUUUUGAUGCGUACGUAAGAACUGUUCUUGCUCAGCCCGUAGCAGCCAUGUAAAACUUGCAACAACGAAGUAGAGGACGUCUAACUUGUUUUUGCAAGGCGUGUUGUGAUGUGAUAUGGUCAAGACGUGAUGAGAUAUAAGUUGUUGUAUGAGAUGAUCAUGUUUUGUUGAAGUUAUCGGCAACUGGCAGAAGCCUUAUGGUUGUCUCUUUAUUGCAUAAGAUGCAGGUGCCAAAUAAUUGCUUUACUUUAUCGCUAUGCGAUAGCAAUAGUUGCCAAGACGACCAUGUGAUGACACGUUGAUAGAGAUCAAGAUGAUGGAGAUCAUGGUGUCAUGCCGGUGAUGAUAGAGAUCAUGAUGGUACUUUGGAGAUGGAGAUCAAAGGCGCAAGAUGAUCAUGGCCAUAUCAUGUCACAUAUUUUGAUUGCAUGUGAUGUCUAUCCUUAUGCAUCUUAUUUUGCUUAGUUCGGCGGUAGCAUUAUAAGAUGAUCUCUCACUAAAUUUCAAGGUAUAAGUGUUCUCCCUGAGUAUGCACCGUUGCGACAGUUCGUCGUGCCGAGACACCACGUGAUGAUCGGGUGUGAUAAGCUCUACGUUCAGAUACAAUGGGUGCAAGCCAGUUUUGCACACGUGGAAUACUUGGGUUAAACUUGACGAGCCUAGCAUAUGCAGAUAUGGCCUCGGAACACUGGAGACCGAAAGGUCGAGCAUGAAUCAUAUGGUAGAUAUGAUCAACAUAGUGAUGUUCACCAUUGAAAACUACUCCAUCUCACAUGAUGAUCGGACAUGGUUUAGUUGAUAUGGAUCACGUGAUCACUUAGAUGAUUAGAGGGGUGUCUAUCUAAGUGGGAGUUCUUAAGUAAUAUGAUUAAUUGAAUUUUAAUUUAUCAUGAACUUAGUCCUGGUAGUAUUUGCAUAACUAUGUUGUAGAUCAUUAGCUCGCGAUGUAGCUCCUCGUUUAUUUUUUGAUAUGUUCCUAGAGAAAUACUAUGUUGAAAGAUGAUAGUAGCAAUGAUACAAACUAGGUCCGUGAUCUGAGGUUUAUCCUGAUUGCUGCACAGAAAAUUAUGUCCUUGAUGCACCGCUAGGUGACAUAACUACUGCAGGAGCAGAUGCAGACGUUAUGAACGUUUUGACAAGCUCGGUAUGAUGACUACUUGAUAGUUUAGUUCACCAUGCUUUAUGGCUUAGAACCGGGACUUCAAAAAUGUUUUGAACACCACAAAGCAUAUAAGAUGUUCCAAGAGUUGAAAUUAGUAUUUCAGACUCAUGCCCAUGUCGAAAGGUAUGAGACCUUUGACAAGCACUUUGCCUACAAGAUGGAGGAGAAUAGCUCAGCUAGUGAGCAUGUGCUCAGAAUGUCCGAGUACUACAAUCACUUGAAUCAAGUGGGAGUUAAUAUUCUAGAUAAGAUAGUGAUUGACAAAGUUCUCUAGUCACUAUCACCAAGUUACUAGAACUUUGUGAUGAACUAUAAUAUGCAAGGGAUAACGGAAACAAUUCCCGAGCUCUUCAUGAUACUGAAAUCGACGAAGGUAGAAAUCAAGAAAAGCAUCAAAUGUUGAUGGUUGACAAGACCACUAGUUCAAGUAAAAGGGCAAGGGAAAGAAAGGGAACUUCAAGAAGAAUGGAAAGCAAGUUGCCACUCCCAUGAAGAAGUCCAAAGCUAGACCCAAGCCUGAAACUGAGUGCUUCUACUGUAAAGGAAAUGGUCACUGGAAGUGGAACUGCCCUAGAUACUUGGCGGAUAAGAAGGAUGGCAUAGUGAACAAAGGUAUAUUGGAUAUACAUGUUAUUGAUGUGUACUUUACUAGUGUUUAUAGCAACCUCUCGGCAUUUGAUACUGGUUCAGUUGCUAAGAGUAGUAACUCAAAACGGGAGUUGCAGAAUGAACAGAAACUAGUUAAGGGUGAAGUGACGAUGUGUGUUGGAAGUAGUUCCAGGAUUGAUAUGAUCAUCAUCGCACACUCCCUUUACCUUCGGGAUUAGUGUUGAACCUAAAAUAAAUGUUAUUUGGUGUUUGCAUUGAGCAUAAUAUGAUUGGAUCAUGUUUACUGCAAUACGGUUAUUCAUUUAAGUCAAAGAAUAAUUGUUAUUAUGUUUACAUGAAUAAAACCUUCUAUGGUCAUACACCCAAGGUGAAUGGUUUAUUGAAUCUCGAUCGUAGUGAUACACAUAUUCAUAAUAUUGAAGCCAAAAUAUGCAAAGUUAAUAAUGAUAGUGCAACCUAUUUGUGGCACUGCCGUUUAGGUCAUAUUGGUGUAAAGCGCAUAAAGAAACUCCAUGCUGAUGGACUUUUGGAAUCACUUGAUUAUGAAUCACUUGAUGCUUGCGAACCAUGCCUCAUGGGCAAGAUGACUAAGACUCUGUUCUCCGGAACAAUGGAGCGAGCAACUGACUUAUUGGAAAUAAUACAUACUGAUGUAUGCGAUCCGAUAAGUGUUGAGGCUCACGGCGGGUAUCGUUAUUUUCUGACCUUCAUAGAUGAUUUGAGCAGAUAUGGGUAUAUCUACUUGAUGAAACCUAAGUCUGAAACAUUUGAAAAGUUCAAAGAAUUUCAGCGUGAAGUGGAAAAUCAUCGUAACAAGAAAAUAAAGUUUCUACGAUCUGAUCGUGGAGGAGAAUAUUUGAGUUAUGAGUUUGGUCUUCAUUUGAAACAAUGCCGAAUAGUUUCGCAACUCACGCCACCUGGAACACCACAGCGUAAUGGUGUGUCCGAACGUCAUAACCAUACUUUAUUAGAUAUGGUGCAACCUAUGAUGUCUCUUACCGAUUUAUCACUAUCGUUUUGGGGUUAUGCAUUAGAGACAGCUGCAUUCACGUUAAAUAGGGCACCAUCUAAAUCCAUUGAGAUGACACCAUAUGAACUAUGGUUUAGCAAGAAACCUAAGCUGUCGUUUCUUAAAGUUUGGGGCUAUGAUGCUUAUGUGAAAAAAAUUCAACCUGAUAAGCUCGAACCCAAAUCGGAGAAAUGCGUCUUCAUAGGAUACCCAAAGGAAACUGUUGGGUAUACCUUCUAUCACUGAUCUGAAGGCAAGAUAUUCGUUGCUAAGAAUGGAUCCUUUCUAGAGAAGAAGUUUCUCUCGAAAGAAGUGAUUGGGAGGAAAGUAGAACUUGAUGAGGUAAUUGUACCUUCUCCCAAAUUGGAAAGUAGUCCAUCACAUAAAUCAGUUCCAGUGAUUCCUACACCAAUUAGUGAGGAAGCUAAUGAUGAUGACCAUGAAACUUCAGAUCAAGUUACUACCGAACCUCAUAGGUCAACCAGAAUACGUUCCACACCAGAGUGGUAUGGUAAUCCUGUUCUGGAGGUCAUGUUGCUUGACCAUGACGAACCUACGAACUAUGAGGAAGCGAUGAUGAGCCCAGAUUCCGCGAAAUGGCUUGAAGCCAUGAAAUCUAAGAUGAGAUCCAUGCAUUAGAACAAAGUAUGGACUUUGAUUGACUUGCCUUAUGAUCGGUGAGUCAUUGAGAAUAAAUGGAUCUUCAAGAGGAAGACGGACGCUGAAAGUACUAUCUACAAAUCUCGAAUUGUUGCAAAAUGUUUUCGACAAGUUCAAGGUGUUGACUAUGAUGAGAUUUUCUCACUCGUAUCAAUGCUUAAAAGUCUGUCCGAAUCAUGUUAGCAGUUGCCACAUUUUAUAAAAUCUGGCAAAUGGGUGUCAAAACUACAUUCCUUAAUGGAUUUCUUAAAGAAGAGUUGUAUAUGAUGCAACCGGAAGGUUUUGUCGAUCCUAAAGGUGCUAACAAAGUGAGCAAGCUCCAGCGAUCCAUCUAUGGACUGGUGCAAGCAUCUCGGAGUUGGAAUACAUUCUUCGAUAAAGUGAUCAAAGCAUAUGGUUUUAUACAGACUUGCGGUGAAGCCUGUAUUUACAAGAAAGUGAGUGGGAGCACUACAUCAUUUCUGAUAAGUGUAUGUGAAUGACAUAUUGUUGAUCGGAAAUAAUGUAGAAUUUUCUGGAAGGCAUAAAGGAGUUUUUCAAAGAAAUACCUCGGUGAAGCUACUUACAUAUUGAGCAUCAAGAUCUAUAGAGAUAGAUCAAGACACUUGAUAUAUUUUCAAUGAGUACAUACCUUGACAAGAUUUUGAAGUAGUUCAAAAUGGAACAGUCAAAGAAGGAGUUCUUGCAUGUGUUGCAUGGUGUGAAGUUGAGUAAAGACCCAAAACCCGACCACGGCAGAAAAUAGAAAGAGAAUGAAAAGUCAUUCCCUAUGCCUCAGUCAUAGGUUCUAUAAAAUAUGCUAUGUUGUGUACCAGACCUAUUGUGUACCUCACCAUAAGUUUGGCAAGAGGGUACAAUAGUGAUCCAGCAGUGGAUCACUGGACAGCGGUCAAAAAUAUCCUUAGUGGAAUAAGGAAAUGUUUCUCGGUUAUGGAGGUGACAAAGAGUUCGUCGUAAAGAGUUAUGUCGAUGCAAGCUUUGACACGGAUCUGGAUGACUCUAAGUCUCGAUCUAGAUACAUAUUGAAAGUGGGAGCAAUUAGCUAGAGUAGCUCCGUGCAAAGCAUUGUAGACAUAGAAAAUUUGCAAAAUACAUAUGGCUCUGAAUGUGGCAGACCUGUUGACUAAAUUUCUCUCGCAAUCAAAACAUGAUUACUCUUUGGGUUUUACUCACAUAACGAUGUGAACUAGAUUAUCGAUUCUAGUAAACCUUUUGGGUGUUAGUCACAUGGAGAUGUGAACUAAUCACAUAAAGAUGUGAACUAUUGGUGUUAAAUCACAUGACGAUGUGAACUAGAUUAUUGACUCUAGUGCAAGUGGGAGACUGAAGGAAAUAUGCCCUAGAGGCAAUAAUAAAGUUAUUUAUAUUUCCUUAUAUCAUGAUAAAUGUUUAUUAUUCAUGCUAGAAUUGUAUUAACCGGGAACUUAGUACAUGUGUGAAUACAUAGACAAACAAAGUGUCACUAAUAUGCCUCUACUUGACUAGCUCGUUGAAUCAAAGAUGGUUAAGUUUCCUAGCCAUAGACAUGAGUUGUCAUUUGAUUAAUGGGAUCACAUCAUUAGAGAAUGAUGUGAUUGACUUGACCCAUUCUGUUAGCUUAGCACGAUGAUUGUUUAGUUUGUUGCUAUUGCUUUCUCCAUAACUUAUACAUGUUCCUAUGACUAUGAGAUCAUGCAACUCCCGAAUACCAGAGGAACACUUGGUGUGCUACCAAACGUCACAACAUAACUGGGUGAUUAUAAAAGUGCUCUACAGGUGUCUCCGAUGGUGUUUGUUGAGUUGGCAUGGAUCAAGAUUAGGAUUUGUCACUCCGAUUGUCGGAGAGGUAUCUCUGGGCCCUCUCGCUAAUGUACAUCACUAUAAGUUUUGCAAGCAAUGUAGCUAAUGAGUUAGUUACGGGAUGUAGCAUUACGGUAUGAGUAAAGAGACUUGCCGGCAACGAGAUUGAACUAGGUAUUGAGAUAUCGAUGAUCAAAUCUCGGGCAAGUAACAUACCGAUGACAAAAGGAACAACGUAUGUUGUUAUGCGGUUUGACCGAUAAAGAUCUUCGUAGAAUAUGUAGGAGCCAAUAUGAGCAUCCAGGUUCCGUUGUUGGUUAUUGACCGGAGAUGAGUCUCGGUCAUGUCUACAUAGUUCUCGAACCCGUUGGGUCCGCACACUUAACGUUUGGUGACAAUCGGUAUUAUUAGUUUAUGUGUUUAGAUGUACCGAAGGUUGUUAGGAGUCCCGUAUGAGACCUGGGACAUGACGAGGAGUCUCGAAAUGUUCGAUAUGUAAAGAUUGAUAUAUUGGAAGGCUAUAUUCGGACAUCGGAAAGGUUCUGAGUGGUUCGGGUAUUUAUCAGAGUACCGAAGAGUUAUGGGAAUUCGCCGGGGAGUAUAUGGGCCUUAUUGGGCUUUAGGGGAGAGAGAGAGAGGGACUGCCUAGGGCAGGCCGCGCCCCCCCAAGGCCUAGUCUGAAUUGGACUAGGGGGAGGGGCGGUGCCCCCUCAUUCCUUCUCUUCUCUAUUCCCCUUCCUUAUCUCGUACUCCUACUACAUGGAAGGGGGGGGGUAUCCUACUGCCGGUGGGAGUAGGACUCCCCAGGGUGCGCUAUAGUAGAGGGCUGGCCCUCCCCCUCCUCCACUCCUUUAAUACGGGGGAGGGGGGCUCCCCAUGGACACACAAGUUGAUCGAUUGAUCUUUUAGCCAUGUACAGUGCCCCCUCCACCAUAAUCCACCUCGAUCAUAUCAUAGCGGUGCUUAGGGGAAGCCCUGCGUCGGUAGCAUCAUCAUCACCAUCAUCACGCCAUCGUGUUGACGGAAAUCUCCCUCGAAGCUCUGCUAGAUCGGAGUUCAUGGGACGUCACCAAGAUGAACGUGUGCUAAACUCGGAGGUGUCGUACGUUCGGUACUUGGAUCGGUCGGAUCGUGAAGACGUACGACUACAUCAACCGUGUUCUCAUAACGCUUCCGCUUACGGUCUACGAGGGUACAUAGACAAUACUCUCCCCUCUCGUUGCUAUGCAUCACCAUGAUCUUGCGUGUGCGUAGGAUUUUUUUUGAAAUUACUACGUUCCCCAACAUCAACCGCGUAGUAAACGCUUCCGCUUUCGGUCUACGAGGGUACGUGGACACACUCUCACGUCUCGUUGCUAUGCUUCUCCUAGAUAGAUCUUGCGUUAUCGUAGGAAUUUUUUUGAAUUACUAUGUUCCCUAACAGUGGCAUCCGAGCCAGGUCUAUGCGUAGAUGAUAUAUGCACGAGUAGAACACAAGAGUUGUGGGUGAUAAUAGUCAUACUGCUUACCACCAACGUAUUACUUUGAUUCGGCGGUAUUGUUGGAUGAAGUGGCCUGGACCGACAUUACAUGACCGUGUUCAUGAGAUUGGUUCUACCGACUUGCUUCGCACACAGGUGGCUGGCGGGUGUCUGUUUCUCCAACUUUAGUUGAAUCAAAUUUGACUACGGCCGGUCCUUGUUGAAGGUUAAAACAACACACUUGAGGAAAAAUCGUUGUGGUUUUGAUGCGUAGGUAAGAACGGUUCUUGCUAGAAGCCUAUAGCAGCCACGUAAAACUUGCAACAACAAAGUAGAGGACGUCUAACUUGUUUUUGCAGGGCAUGUUGUGAUGUGAUAUGGUCAAUACGUGAUGAGAUAUAAAUUGUUGUAUGAGAUGAUCAUGUUUUGUAAAAGUUAUCGGCAACUGGCAGGAGCCUUGUGGUUGUCGCUUUAUUGUACGAAAUGCAAUCGCCAUGUAAUUGCUUUACUUUAUCACUAAGCUGUAGCGAUAGUCAUAGAAGCAAUAGUUGGCGAGACAGCAAUGAUGCUACGAUGGAGAUCAAGGUGUGAAGCCGGUGACGAUGGAGAUCAUGCCGGUGCUUUGUAGAUGGAGAUCAAAGGCACAAGAUGAUGAUGGCCAUAUCAUGUCACAUAUUUUGAUUGCAUGUGAUGUUUAUCCUUUAUGCAUCUUAUUUGGCUUACUACGGUGGUAGCAUUAUAAGAUGAUCUCUCACUAAAUUUCGAGGUAUAAGUGUUCUCCCUGAGUAUGCAUGGUUGCUACAGUUCUUCAUGCCGAGACACCACGUGAUGAUCGUGUGUGAUAAGCUCUACGUUCACAAAAAAUGGGUGCAAGCCAGUUUUGCACGUGCAGAAUACUCGGGUUAAACUUGACGAGCCUAGCAUAUGCAGAUAUGGCCUCGGAACACUGAGACCGAAAGGUCGAACAUGAAUCAUAUAGUAGAUAUGAUCAACAUAGUGAUGUUCUCCAUUGAAAACUACUCCAUCUCACGUGAUGAUCGGACAUGGUUUAGUUGAUAUGGAUCACAUGAUCAUUUAGAUGACUAGAGGGAUUGUUGGGGAAUGCAAUAUUUCAAAAAAAUUCCUACGAUCACGCAAGAUCUAUCUAGGAGAUGCAUAGCAAUGAGGGGGGAGAGUGUGUCUAUGUACCCUCGUAGACCAAAAGUGGAAGCAUUAAGUAACGCAGUUGAUGUAGUCGAACGUCUUUGAGAUCCAACCGAUCAAGUACCGAACGCACGACACCUCCGCGAUCUGCACACAUUCAGCUCGGUGAUGUCCCUCUUACUCUUGAUCCAGCUGAGGCUGAGGGUGAGUUGCAUCAGCACGACGACAUGUUGACGGUGAUGAUGAAGUUACCAACGCGGGGCUUCGCCUAAGCACUACGACAAUAUGACCGAGGCGGAAAACUAUGGAGGGGGGCACUGCACAUGGCUAAAUAUCAACUUGUGUGUCUAUGGGGUGCCCCCUCCCCCGUAUAUAAAGGAGGGGAGGAGGAGGAGGGCCGGCCUCAAGGGGCGCGCCCAAGGGAGGAUUCCUACUCCUAGUAGGAGUAGGUUUCCCUCCUUUCCUAGUCCUAGUAGGAGAAGAAGGAAGGAGAGGAAGAAGAGAAGGAAAGGGGGGGGGGGGGCUAGCCCUAGUCCAAUUCGAUUUGGGCUAGGGGGGCGCCACCUCUUGGCCUGCCUCCUCUCUUCCACCACUAGGCCCAUAAGGCCCAAUAACUUCCCAAAGGGUGUUCCGGUAACCCCCGUUACUCCGGAACUUAUCCAAAACGACCCGAACCAUUCUGGUGUCUGAAUGUAACCUUCCAACAUAUGAAUCUUUAUGUCUCGACCAUUUCGAGACUCCUCAUCAUGUCUGUGAUCUCAUAUGGGACUCCGAAUAACCUUCGGUACAUCAAAUCACACAACUCAUAAUACAUAUCGUCAUCGAACGUUAAGCAUGCGGACCCUUCGGGUUCGAGAACUAUGUAGACAUGACCGAGACACAUCUCCGGUCAAUAACCAAUAGCGGAAUCUGGAUGCUCAUAUUGGUUCCUACAUAUUCUACGGAGAUCUUUAUCGGUCAAACCGCAUAACAACAUACGUUUUUCCCUUUGUCAUCGGUAUGUUACUUGCCCGAGAUUCAAUCGUCGGUAUCAUCAUACCUAGUUCAAUCUUGUUACCGGCAAGUCUCUUUACUCGUUCCGUAAUGCAUAUAGUCACAUUGCUUGCAAGGCUCAUAGCGAUGUGCAUUACCGAGAGGGCCCAGAGAUACCUCUCCGAUACACGGAGUGACAAAUCCUAAUCUCGAUCUAUGCCAACUCAACAAACACCAUAGGAGACACCUGUAGAGCAUCUUUAUAAUCACCCAGUUAUGUUGUGACAUUUGAUAGCACAGAAGGUGUUCCUCUGGUAUUAGGGAGUUGCAUAAUCUCAUAGUCAUAGGAACAUGUAUAAGUCAUGAAGAAAGCAAUAGCAAUAAACUAAACGAUCAUAGUGCUAAGCUAAUGAAUGUGUCUAGUCCAUCACAUCAUUCUCUAAUGAUGUGAUCCCGUUCAUCAAAUGACAACACAUGUCUAUGGCUAGGAAAAUUAACCAUCUUUGAUUAACGAGCUAGUCAAGUAGAGGCAUACUAGGGACACUCUAUUUGUCUAUGUAUUCACACAUGUACUAAGUUUUCGGUUAAUACAAUUCUAGCAUGAAUAAUAAACAUUUAUCAUGGUAUAAGGAAAUAUAAAUAACAACAUUAUUAUUGCCUCUAGGGCAUAUUUCCUUCAGUCUCCCACUUGCACUAGAGUCAAUAAUCUAGUUCACAUCGUCAUGUGAUUUCACACCAAUAAUUCACAUCUUUAUGUGAUUAUUUCACAUCUUCAUGUGACUAAUACCCAAAGGGUUUACUAGAGUCAAUAAUCUAGUUCACAUCGCUAUGUGAUUAACACCCAAAGAGUGAUCAUGUUUUGCUUGUGAGAGAAGUUUAGUCUACGGGUCUGCAACAUUCAGAUCCAUAUGUAUUUUGCAAAUUUCUAUGUCUAAAAUACUCUGCAUGGAGCUACUCUAGCUAAUUGCUCCCACUUUCAAUAUGUAUCUAGAUCGAGACUUAGAGUCAUGUAGAUCGGUGUCAAAAUCUUGUAUCGACGGAACUUUUUACGAUGAACUCUUUUAUCACCUCCAUAACCGAGAAAUAUUUCCUUAGUCCUCUAAGGAUAAUUUUGACCAUUGUCCAGUGAUCUACUCCUAGAUCACUAUUGUCCUCCCUUGCCAAAAUCAUGCUAAGGUAUACAAUAGGUCUGGUACACAGCAACUUUAUAGAACCUAUGACUGAGGCAUAGGGAAUGACUUUUCAUUCUCUUUCCAUUUUCUGCCGUGGUUGGGUUUUGAGUCUUUACUCAACUUCACACCUUGCAACACAGACAAGAACUCCUUCUUUGAUUGAUCCAUUUUGAACUCCUUCAAAAUCUUGUCAAGGUAUGUACUCAUUGAAAAAACUUAUCAAGCGUCUUGAUAUAUAUCUAUAGAUCUUGAUGCUCAAUAUGUACGUAGCUUUACCGAGGUAUUUCUUUGAAAAACUCCUUUCAAAUACUCCUUUACGCUUUCCAGAAAAUUCUACAUCAUUUUAGAUCAAUAAUAUGUCAUUCACAUAUACUUAUCAAAAAGGCUGUAGUGCUCCCACUCACUUUCUUGUAAAUACAGGCUUCACCACAAGUAUGUAUAAAACUAUAUGCUUUGAUCAACUCAUCAAAGCAUAUAUUCCAACUCCGAGAUGCUUGCACCAGCCCAUAGAUGGAUCGCUGGAGCUUGCACACUUUGUUAGCAUCUUUAGGAUUGACAAAACCUUAUGGUUGCAUCUUAUACAACUCUUCUUUAAUAAAUCCAUUAAGGAAUGUAGUUUUGAUAUCCAUUUGCCAUAUUUCAUAAAAUACGGCAACUGCUAACAUGAUUCGAACAGACUUUUAAGCAUCAAUACGAGUGAGAAAAUCUCAUCGUAGUCAACACCUUGAACUUGUCGAAAACCUUUUGCGACAAUUCGAGCUUUGUAGAUAGUAACACUACUAUCAGUGUCCGUCUUCCUCUUGAAGAUCCAUUUAUUCUGAAUGGCUCACCGAUCAUCGGGCAAAUCAAUCAAAGUCCAUACUUUGUUCUCAUACAUGGAUCCCAUCUCAGAUUCAUGGCCUUAAGUCAUUUCAUGGAAUCUGAGCUCAUCAUCGCUUCCUCAUAGUUCGUAGGUUCAUCAUGGUCUAGCAACAUGAUUUCCAGAAUAGGAUUACCAUACCACUCUGGUGUGGAUCGUACUCUGGUUGACCUACGAGGUUCAGUAUUAACUUGAUCUAAAGUUUCAUGAUCAUCAUCAUUAACUUCCUCACUAAUUGGUGUAGGCAUCACUGGAACUGAUUUCAGUGAUGAGCUACUUUCCAAUUCGAGAGAAGGUACAUUUACCUCAUCAAGUUCUACUUUCCUCCCACUCACUUCUUUCAAGAGAAACUCCUUCUCUAGAAAGGAUCCACUCUUAGCAACAAAGAUCUUGCCUUCAAAUUAGUGAUAGAAGGUGUACCCAAUAGUUUCUUUUGGGUAUCCUAUGAAGACACACUUCUUCGAUUUGGGUUUGAGCUUAUCAGGCUGAAACUUUUUCACAUAAGCAUUGCAACCCCAAACUUUAAGAAAUGACAACUUAGGUUUCUUGCUAAACCACAGUUCAUACGGUGUCAUCUCAAUGGAUUUUUAGACGGUGCCCUAUUUAAAGUGAAUGCAACUGUCUCUAAUGCAUAACCCCAAAACGAUAGUGGUAAAUCGGUAAGAGACAUCAUAGAUUGCAUCAUAUCUAAUAAAAGUACGGUUAUUACGUUCGGACACACCAUUACGCUGUGGUGUUCCAGGUGGCGUGAGUUGCGAAACUAUUCGACAUUGUUUCAACUAAAGGCUAAACUCGUAACUCAAAUAUUUCGUCUCUACGAUCAGAUCGUAGAAACUUUAUUUUUUGUUAUGAUGAUUCUCCACUUCACUCUGAAAUUCUUUGAACUUUUCAAUCAUUUCAUGCUUGUGUUUCAUUAAGUAGAUAUACUCAUAUCUGCUCAAAUCAUCUGUGACGGUCAGAAAAUAAUGAUACCUGCCGCGAGCCUCAACACUCAUUGGAUCGCAUACAUCAGUAUGUAUUAUUUCUAAUAAGUCUGUUGCUCGCUCCAUUGUUCCGGAGAACGGAGUCUUAGUCAUCUUGCCCAUGAGGCAUGGUUUGCAAGCAUCAAGUGAUUCAUAAUCAAGUGAUUCCAAAAGUCCAUCAGCAUGGAGUUUCUUCAUGCGCUUUACACCAAUAUGACCUAAACGGCAGUGCCACAAAUAUGUUGCACUAUCAUUAUUAACUUUGCAUCUUUUGGCAUCAAUAUCAUGAAUAUUUGUAUCACUACGAUCGAGAUUCAAUAAACCAUUCACCUUGGGUGUAUGACCACAGAAGGUUUUAUUCAUGUAAACAGAAUAGCAAUUAUUCUUUGAUUUAAAUUAAUAACCGUAUUGCAAUAAACAUGAUCCAAUCAUAUUAUGCUCAACACAAACACCAAAUAACAUUUAUUUUAGGUUCAACACUAAUCCCGAAGGUAAAGGAAGUGUGAGAUGGUGAUCUUAUCAACCUUUGGAAUCAUUUUCAACACACAUCGUCACCUCGCCCUCAACUAGUCUUUGUUCACUUUGUAACUCCUGUUUUGAGUUACUAAUCAUAGCAACUGAACCAGUAUCAAAUACCCAGGGGCUACUAUGAAUACUAGUAAAGUACACAUCAAUAACAUGUAUAUCAUAUAUACUUUUGUUCACUUUGCCAUCCUUCUUAUCCGCCAAGUAUUUGGGGCACCGCUUCUAGUGGCCAUUUCAUUUGCAGUAGAAGCACUCAGUUUCAGGCUUGGGUCUAGCUUUGGACUUCUUCAUGGGAGUGACUACUUGCUUGCCAUUCUUCUUGAAGUUCACUUGCUUUCCCUUGCCAUUUUACUUGAAACUAGUGGUCUUGUCAACCAUCAAUAUUUGAUGCUUUUCUUGAUUUGUACCUUUGUUUAUUUCAGCAUCACGAAGAGCUUGGGAAUCGUUUUCGCCAUCCCUUGCAUAUUAUAGUUCAUCACGAAGUUCUAGUAACUUGGCGAUAGUGACUAGAGAACUCUGUCAAUCACUAUCUUAUCUGGAAGAUUAACUCCUACUUGAUUCAAGCGAUUGUAGUACUCAGACAUUCUGAGCACAUGCUCACUAGUUGAGCUAUUCUCCUCCAUCUUGUAGGCAAAGUACUUGUCAGAGGUCUCAUACCUCUCCACUCGGGCAUGAGUCUGAAAUACCAAUUUCAGCUCUUGGAACAUCUUAUAUGCUCCGUGGCGUUCAAAAUGUUUUUAAAGUCCCGGUUCUAAGUCGUAAAGCAUGACACACUAAACUAUCAAGUAGUCAUCAUAUCGAGCUUACCAAAUGUUCAUAACAUAUGCAUCUGCUCCUGCAAUAGGUCUGUCACCUAGCGGUGCAUCAAGGACAUAAUUCUUCUGUGCGAUAAUGAGGAUAAUCCUCAUAUCACGGAGCUAGUCUGCAUCAUUGCUACUAACAUCUUUCAACAUAGUUUUCUCUAGGAACAUAUCAUAAAUAAAACGGGGAAGCUAUAUGCGAGCAAUUUAUCUACAACAUAGAUAUGCAAAUACUAUCAGGACUAAGUUCAUGAUAAAUUUAAGUUCAAUUAAUCAUAUUACUUAAGAACUCCCACUUAGAUAGGCAUCCCUCGAGUCAUCUAAAUGAUCACGUGAUCCAUAUCAACUAAACCAUGUACGAUCAUCACGUGGGAUGGAGUAGUCUUCAAUGGUCAACAUCUCUAUGUUGAUCAUAUCUACUAUAUGAUUCCCAUUUGACCUUUCGGUCUCCAGUGUUCCGAGGCCAUAUCUGCAUAUGCUAGGCUCAUCAAGUUUAACCUGAGUAUUCUGCUUGUGCAAAACUGGCUUGCACCUGUUGUAUGUGAACAUAGAUCUUAUCACACCCGAUCACCACGUGGUGUCUUGGUACGACGGACUGUAGCAACGGUGCAUACUCAGGGUGUAGGAUCGAAAGUAUGUCUAGAGGGGGGGGGUGAUUAGACUACUUGACCAAAUAAAACUUAUCCUUUUCCCAAUUUUAGUUCUUGGCAGAUUUUAGCAACUUUGGACAAGUCAAGCAAUCUUAACACAAUUCAAGCAAGCAUGCAAAGAGUAUAUGAGCAGCGGAAAGUAAAGCAUGCAACUUGCAAGAAUGUAAAGGGAAGGGUUUGGAGGAUUCAAACGCAAUAGGAGACACAGAUGUUUUUGUCGUGGUUCCGAUAGGUGGUGCUAUCGCACAUCCACGUUGAUGGAGACUUCAACCCACGAAGGGUAGCGGCUGCGCGAGUCCAUGGAGGGCUCCACCCACGAAGGGUCCACGAAGAAGCAACCUUGUCUAUCCCACCAUGGCCGUCGCCCACGAAGGACUUACCACACUAGCGGUAGAUCUUCACAAAGUAGGCGAUCUCCUUGCCCUUACAAACUCCUUGGUUCAACUCCACAAUCUUGUCGGAGGCUCCCAAGUGACACCUAGCCAAUCUAGGAGACACCACUCUCCAAGAAGUAACAAAUGGUGUGUUGAUGAUGAACUCCUUGCUCUUGUGCUUCAAAUGAUAGUCUCCCCAACACUCAACCCUCUCUCACAGGAUAUGGAUUUGGUGGAAAGAAGAUUUGAGUGGAAAGCAACUUGGGGAAGGCUAGAGAUCAAGAUUCAUAUGGUAGGAAUGGAAUAUCUUGGCCUCAACACAAGUGUAGGUGGUUCUCUCUCAAAAAAGGUAAGUUGGAAGUGUAGGUUCGUUCUGAUGGCUCUCUCCAUGAAUGAAGAGGAGGUGGAGGGGUAUAUAUAGCCUCCACACAAAAUCUAACCGUUACACACAACUUGCCAAUCUCGAUGGGACCGAAUUGAUAAACUCGGUUGGACCGAUUCAACAAAUCUAGUGACCGUUAGGAUUUCUGGUGGGACCGACAUGCAACUCGGUAGGACCGAUAUGGUUAGGGUUAGGGCAUAAUGUAAUCUCGGUGAGACCGAUUACACAAACUCGGUGAGACCGAUUUUGGUAAUAAGCUAACCAGAGAGUUGGUCAGGUAAACUCGGUGGGACCGAUUCGCUCAUUUCGGUGAGGCCGAAAUGUUACGAAAGGGAAACAGAGAGUUUACAUUGCAAUCUCGGUGGGACCGAUCGCUCAUCUCGGUGGGGCCGAAACGUUAUGAAGAGAAACAGAUAGAUUACAACCCCAUCUCGGUGAGACCGAGAUCCCUAUUGGUGAGACCGAUUUGCCUAGGGUUUGUGGCAGUGGCUAUGACAUCUGAACUCGGUGGCGCCGGGAAGAAAGAAUCGGUGGGGCCGAGUUUGACUUUUGGUUUAGGUCAUAUGUGGAUGUGAGAAAGUUGUUGAGGGCUUUGGAGCAUAUCACUGAGCAUUUUGAGCAAGCGCCUCAUUAAGCAACACCUCAUCCCUCCUUGAUAGUAUUGGCUUUUCCUAUAGACUCAAUGUGAUCUUGGAUCACUAAAAUAGAAAAUGUAGAGUCUUGAGCUUUGAGCUUGAGCCAAUCCUUUUGUCCUUAGCAUUUUGAGGGGUCCACUUUUCUCAUCCAUGCCAUGCCAAUCAUUGAGCUUUCCUGAAAUAUUAAUCUUGAAAUAGCAUUAGCUCAAUGAGCUAUAUGUUGUUAGGAAUUACCAAAACCACCUAGGGAUAGUUGCACUUUCAAUCUCCCCUUUUUGUUAAUUGAUGAAAACAUAUAGAUCAAAGCUUCGACAAAUGAUAAUAAGAGUGAAAAACAUUGUCGCUUUGAGAAGUAUGUGAAAAGCAAGAGCUCCCCCUAAAUUUGUGCAUAGUUUAAGAUUUGCUUUGGACUGCAAAUGCACAAUGAGUUAGGAUCAUGGGUUACUCUUCCACAUCACAUACAUCUUGGUCGAGCGCUCAAAAUGAUAAUAAUUAAAUACAUGCACUCAUCACCAAGCAAAGUGAAUGAUCAUAUGGGGAUAUAAAAAGAUAAUGUCAUCCAACAAGCAUUAAGGUAGCAUAUGAUCAAACACAUGAUCAUCCAAGUAUCACACAAAAGCAUAAAGUAUCUCAAACAAGCAAAUAACAAAGUUCAACCACCAAAAAAACAAGAGAGAACAAAUAGCAACACUCUCUCUCGAAGCCUAUGAUCUAUACAUUUUCUCCCCCUUUGGCAACAAGUUACCAAAAAGUUCAUAAAAAUGCAUGGUGCUAGAUCGACUCUUAGGCUUGGUCUUCAGGUGGUGGUGUGGAUAAAACUCCAAGGAUGAAGGCAUCAGUUGAUGUAGAUGGAGCUGGUGGAGUGGGUGCUGGAGCUAGUGGCACUGAGCUGUAGCUGGUGCAGAUGAAGUUGCUCUAGUGUCUGUAACUGGCACUGCAGCAGAUCUCUGUCCUCUGGGCACUCUAGCAAAAGCAUCAGUGGUAGACUUGCCCUUCUGUCCUACACUUUAUCCUGAAGUUGCUCAACAACCGACUGUAUCUCAGUGACCUUCACAUCUAAAUCAUAGAACUUCUGCUCCAUGAUCCUCUCCAAGCUCUCCUGGUUUUGAGUCAGGGUGGCCAAUCCCUUCUCAAUCCUCAGAGUGGAGGCAAUCAAGUAGCCAAGAUGAUCUUUCUUGCUCUUCAGAAGAUACUGAGAUACCUCAUCAAUGGUUGGCAUCUUUGCAGCCUUUUCAGUUCUUGCCUUCUCCCUCUUUGCUUGUGCUUGCACAGAAGAUGGUUCAUUCUCAUCCAUUACCACAGUGUUGUCCUCAAAGUCAGGGUAGAUGGGCAUAUGUUCCUUGUCCAAGAGAUAUGUGCCAGUGCCCAUCUUGGAGUUGAUUAGCUCCUGGAUCUGUGGGGCAUACCCACAACUUCUCUUCUGAUCUGCAGCUGUUCUCUUUUUGGUUUCCACAAUUAGGCUCAUGACUUUGAACUUUUGAGGCACAUCAAAUAUGUGAAGCAGGUUACCUCUGAUCAUCUUGUGAUCACUCGACUUUGGCAAUAGAGUGUGCCUGAGGAUCCAGUUGAUUGUUGGCAAACCUGGCAGAAGGUAAUGUACUGAUCCAAAUUUGUGUGUGUCUCAAGAGCAGCAUCUGGGAUCUCUCUGUACAUAUGUGCCAUGGUGUUGUGAUCAUUCUUCUUCUUGGCAUAGACAUCCAAGUCAUCUUCAUUCUCCUCAGGAGCAUUGACCAAUUUUGCCCAUUCUUCAAUUGUUGACUGGUACCUAGUACCUUCAGACAUCCAGACAAUCCUUCCAUCUGGAUAGAAAUGAGCUGUGGAGUAGAACUGCAUAAUAAGCUUAUCAUUCCACUUUGUGAGCUUCUGAGCCACAAACUCAUCAACUCCACAUGCCUUGAAGCUGUCAUAUACACCAGGAUAGUUUUAUUCAUUUUCCCUGAUGUACUCCCAGUCCACCCAUCUCAUAUCACAGACUAUAGGCUUCUUGUCAAGCAACACUGUCUCAUAGAAGUCCUGUUGUUCCUUUGUAUGGAACUUGUAGUCCACAGCAGUCCUUCUCCUGGUGGCAUAUGGAUCAGACUCUCUCCAUAGCCUCAAUCCUGAACCCUUCCUGAUUUUCAUAUUCUCUGCAACUGGGUGUGCAUCAUUGUGAUCAGGGAUCUUGGGCUUCAACUUCCUCAAAACAACAAAAUCAUCUUCCUCCUCUUCUUCAGCAGCUUGAGGCACUAGGGCCUUGUUCUUCUCCUCAGCAGGGAUGUUCUUGGUGCCUCUUGGGUUUUGGAUUUGGAGCUGGAGCAGCAGUCUUAGGAGCUUCUUUGGGCUUAGAUGGAGCAGCCCCUGCCUUAAUUGCAUCUCCCAUAAGCUUUUGAGCUUUAGGUGCUGGUGCUGCAUCCUCUUCCUCUUCAUCAUCAUCUCUCAUAAUUGAUGAUCUGCCAAGCACUCUGGCAGUGGUCUUCUUGACCAUUUCCUUCCUUUUCUUCUUUGCCACAACCUGUUCUUUGGGUGCAGAUCCCAAAAUUUCUUGAGUGGAUGUUCUGGCCUUUGACAUAGGAACUCUCUUGGCAGGAAUCUUUGUCUUCAUUCCUGGCUUAGUGGCAACAGCUGUGCCAUAUUCCUUUUUCAGAACUUUCCUCUUUGAGGUGGCCUCUUCCUCAACAACCACAUAGUCCUCAUCCUCAGAAUCUGAGGUUCUCUUCUUUCUGGCCUUGGUGGUUGCCUUAGGCAAGUUGCUGGGUGUACUCCUGCUUCCAUCAUCAUAGCUGCUAGAGGGACUAGUGCCCUCACUUAUGUGAACUUGCUCCUCAGACUUGUUCUGACUGUCACUCUGAUCUGACAUGAUGCAAACACUGACAGCAGAACCUGUGAAUAGAUAUAGAUGAGAUAGAUUGGAUGAGAAUCACAAAGUACAGAGGUUUUUGCAAAAGACUGAGUUAAAAACUUAGUUUUAGUUUUCCACAGAAAGCAUUUCCGAUCUACCGAUUUGAAAACUCGGUGAUACCGAAGCAGCUUUUGGAACCUAAACUAGUGAACUCGGUCAGACCGAGUCACAGUUCAGUGGCACCAAGAUUGCUAGGGUUUCACAAAGAAUUGAACUCGGUCACACCGAUUUGCAAUUCUCGGUCAGACCAAGAAUCACAUGUGCAAUGGCCUUAGCCAAAUCGGUGGAACCGAUUUCAACAACUCGGUUGGUCCGAGAUGAUUUCGGCGGAACCCUAACCCUAAAUUUUCAAUCCACAACUAAACUAUGGAGUGAUUUCGCUAGAUAGAGUGAUCUCAAUCGUGGCAAGAUACAUGGCAAAACAAUGUGCUAGGAAUCGGAGUGAGAUUAGCAUAAGGUCAAGUCCAUACCCUAAGUGUGGCGAUGGACCUGCUAUGGCGGCAAUGGCGGAGACGAUUUCCGUUGACGGCGGCGGAGACCAGUGGCAGGAGGCAGCUGGCGAUGAGGAGGACGAUCCGGAGACCCAGGGAGGCAGAGCAGGCUGAUCGCGGGCGAAGGGGUUUGGAGAAUUUUCCAAAUUUUGGCCCGGGGAUAUAUAUAGCCUGACCCUGUCGGUGUGACCGAGUGGAACAACUCGGUGGCACCGAGAUGCCUAACUGCAAGCAGUUACUGCAACUCGGUGUGAUUGAAAAGUUCAAAUCGGUUGCACCGAGAUUGAAAACCUAGAUCGACUUAGUGAUCUCGGUAUGACCGAAAUGGAUGAAUCGGUCAGACCGAAAUGCACAAAGAAGUUUUGGAAGUUUAAGUCUAUGACGAAUCGGGGACUCCGAGUGCUCCUCACAUGGAGUGGUUCGAAUCUAACUUGAUCAAACUUUGUGAUGUAGCAUGAAUAGAGUUUGAGACAAGAAAAGCAUAGAUAGCUAGAGAAGGUUCUUAGGAAUUCUUGUCCAUCCACUUGGCAAAAGAAAAAGGAACCAAACAAUCAAAACAGCAAGUGGAUGUCUGAUGUCUACUACACAACCUUCUGCUUGUAGACGUUCUUGGGCCUCCAAGUGCAGAGGUUUGUAGGACAGUAGCAAAUUUCCCUCAAGUGGAUGACCUAAGGUUUAUCAAUUCGUAGGAGGCAUAGGAUGAAGAUGGUCUCUCUCAAGCAACCCUGCAACCAAAUAACAAAGAGUCUCUUGUGUCCCCAACACACCCAAUACAAUGGUAAAUCGUAUAGGUGCACUAGUUCGGCGAAGAGAUGGCGAUACAAGUGGUAUAUGGAUGGUAGAUAAAGGUUUUUGUAAUCUGAAAAUAUAAAAACAGCAAGGUAACAUAUGAUAAAAGUGAGCGUAAACGGUAUUGCAAUGCGUUGAAACAAGGCCUAGGGUUCAUACUUUCACUAGUGCAAGUUCCCUCAACAAUAAUAACAUAGAUGGAUCACAUAACCGUCCCUCAACAUGCAACAAAGAGUCACUCCAAAGUCACUAAUAGUGGAGAACAAACGAAGAGAUUAUGGUAGGGUACGAAACCACCUCAAAGUUAUUCUUUCCAAUCAAUCCAUUGGGCUAUUCCUAUAAAUGUCACAAACAACCCUAGAGUUCAUACUAGAAUAACACCUUAAGACAAAAAUCAACCAAAACCCUAAUGUCACCUAGAUACUCCAAUGUCACCUCAAGUAUCCGUGGGUAUGAUUAUAUGAUAUGCAUCACACAAUCUCAGAUUCAUCUAUUCAACCAACACAUAGAACCUCAAAGAGUGCCCCAAAGUUUUCACCGGAGAAUCACGACGAAAACGUGUGCCAACCCCUAUGCAUAGGUUCAUGGGCGGAACCUGCAAGUUGAUCACCAAAACAUACACCAAGUGAAUCACGUGGUAUCCCAUUGUCACCACAGAUACGCACGACAAGACAUACAUCAAGUGUUCUCAAAUCAUUAAAGACUCAAUCCGAUAAGAUAACUUCAAAGGGAAAACUCAAUCCAUUACAAGAGAGUAGAGGGGGGAAGAAACAUCAUAGGAUCCAAAUAUAAUAGCAAAGCUCGCGAUACAUCAAGAUCGUAUCACCUCAAGAACAUGAGAGAGAGAGAGAGAUCAAACACAUAGCUACUGGUACAUACCCUCAACCCCGAGGGAUAACUACUCCCUCCUCGUCAUGGAGAGCACCGGGAUGAUGAAGAUAGCUACCGGAGAGGGGUUCCCCCUCCGGCAGGGUGCCAGAACGGGUCUAGAUUGGUUUUCGGUGGCUACAGAGGCUUCUGGCGGCAGAACUCCCGAUCUAUUGUGCUCCUCGAUCAUUUUAGGGUAUAUGGGUAUAUAUGGGAGGAAGAAGUACAUCGGUGGACUUCCGGGCUGCCCAAUAGGUAGGGGGGCGCGCCCAGGGGGGUGGGCGCGCCCUCCACCCUUGUGGGCAGCCCGGGACUGUCCUCGUGCAAGUACGGUACUCUGUGGGCUUCUUCUGGUCCAAAAAUAAGUUCCGUGAAGUUUCAGGUCAAUUGGACUCCGUUUGAUUUUCCUUUUCUUUGAUACUCUAAAACAAGGAAAAAACAGAAACUGGCACUAGGCUCUAGGUUAAUAGGUUAGUCCCAAAAAUAAUAUAAAAGUGUAUAAUAAAGCCCAUAAACAUCCAAAACAGAUAAUAUAAUAGCAUGGAACAAUCAAAAAUUACAGAUACGUUGGAGACGUAUCAGCAUCCCCAAGCUUAAUUCCUGCUCGUCCUCGAGUAGGUAAAUGAUAAAAACAGAAUUUUUGAUGUGGAAUGCUACCUAACAUAUUUAUCCAUGUAGUUCUCUUUAUUGUGGCAAGAAUAUUCAGAUCCAUAAGAUUCAAGACAAAAAUUUAAUAUUGACAUGAAAACAAUAAUACUUCAAGCAUACUAACUAAGCAAUGAUGUCUUCUCAAAAUAACAUGGCCAAAGAAAGCUAUCCCUACAAAAUCAUAUAGUCCGGCAAUGCUCCAUCUUCACCACACAAAAUAUUUAAAUCAUGCACAACCCCGAUGACAAGCCAAGCAAUUGUUUCAUACUUUUGAUGUUCUCAAACUAUUUCAAUCUUCAUGCAAUAUAUGAGAGUGAGCCAUGGAUAUAGCACUAUAGGUGGAAUAGAAGGGUGGUUGUGGAUAAGACAAAAAGAGAGAAGAUAGUCUCACAUCAACUAGGCGUAUCAACGGGCUAUAGAGAUGCCCAUCAAUAGAUAUCAAUGUGAGUGAGUAGGGAUUGCCAUGCAACGGAUGCACUAGAGCUAUAAAUGUAUGAAAGCUCAACAAAGGAAACUAGUGGGUGUGCAUCCAACUCGCUUGCUCACGAAGACCUAGGGAAUUUUGAGGAAGCCCGUCAUUGGAAUAUACAAGCCAAGUUCUAUAAUGAAAGAUUCCCACUAGUAUAUGAAAGUGACAACAUAGGAGACUCUCUAUCAUGAAGAUCAUGGUGCUACUUUGAAGCACAAGUGUGGUAAAAGGAUAGUAGCAUUUACCCUUCUCUCUUUUUCUCUCAUUUAUUAUUUUAUUAUUUGGGCCUUCUCCUUUUUUAUGGCCUCUCUGUUUUUUUAUUUGGGCUUCUUUGGCCUCUCUUUUUUCGUCCGGAGUCUCAUCCUGACUUGUGGGGGAAUCAUAGUCUCCAUCAUCCUUUCCUCACUUGGACAAUGCUCUAAUAAUGAUGAUCAUCACACUUUUAUUUACUUGCAACUCAAGAAUUACAACUCGAUACUUAGAACAAGAUAUGACUCUAUAUGAAUGCCUCCGGCGGUGUAUCGGGAUGUGCAAUGAUGCAUGAGUGACAUGUAUGAAAGAAUUAUGAACGGUGGCUUUGCCACAAAUACGAUGUCAACUACAUGAUCAUGCAAAGCAGUAUGACAAUGAUGGAGCGUGUCAUAAUAAGAGGAAUGGUGGAAAGUUUCAUGGCAAUAUAUCUCGGAAUGGCUAUGGAAAUGCCAUAAUAGGUAGGUAUGGUGGCUGUUUUGAGGAAGUUAUAUGGUGGGUUUAUGGUACCGGCCAAAGUUGCGCGGUACUAGAGAGGCUAGCAAUGGUGGAAGGGUGAGAGUGCGUAUAAUCCAUGGACUCAACAUUAGUCAUAAACAACUCACAUACUUAUUGCAAAAAUCUAUUAGUUAUCGAAACAAAAUACUACGCGCCUGCUCCUAGGGGGAUAGAUUGGUAGGAAAAGACCAUCGCUCGUCCCCAACCGCCACUCAUAAGGAAGACAAUCAAUAAAUAAAUCAUGAUCCGGCUUCAUCACAUAACGGUUCACCAUACGUGCAUGCUACGGGAAUCACAAACUUCAACACAAGUAUUUCUCAAAUUCAAAACUACUCAACUAUCAUGAUUCUAAUAUCACCAUCUUCAUAUCUCAUAACAAUCAUCAAGUAUCAAACUUCUCAUAGUAUUCAAUGCACUUUAUAUGAAAGUUUUUAUUAUAUCCCUCUUGGAUGCCCAUAAUAUUAGGACUAAAUUCAUAACCAAAGCAAAUUACCAUGCUGUUCUAAAUACUGUCAAAAUGAUAUAAGUGAAGCACUAGAGCAAUGACAAACUACUCCGAAAGAUAUAAGUGAAGAUCAAUGAGUAGUUGAAUAAUUAUGCAACUAUGUGAAGACUCUCUAACAUUUAAGGAUUUCAGAUCUUGAUACAUUAUUCAAACAGCAAGCAAAACAAAAUAAAUUGACGCUCCAAGCAGAACACAUAUCAUGUGGUGAAUAAAAAUAUAGCUCCAAGUGAAGUUACCGAUGAACGAAGACGAAAGAGGGGAUGCCUUCCGGGGCAUCCCCAAGCUUAGGCUCUUGGCUAUCCUUGAAUAUUACCUUGGGGUGCCUUGGGAAACCCCAAGCUUAGGCUCUUGCCACUCCUUAUUCCAUACUCCAUCGAAUCCUUACCCAAAACUUGAAAACUUCACAACGCAAAACUUAACAGAAAACUCGUAAGCUCCGUUAGUAUAAAGAAAAUAAAUCACCACUUCAAGGUACUGUAAUGAACUCAUUAUUUAUUUAUAUUGGUGUUAAACCUACUGUAUUCCAACUUAUCUAUGGUUUAUAAACUAUUUUACUAGCCAUAGAUUCAUCAAAAUAAGUAAACAACACAUGAAAAACAGAAUCUUUCAAAAACAGAACAGUCUGUAGUAAUCUGGGUCAAACGUAUACUUAUGGAACACAUAAAAUUCUCAAAUAAAUUGCUGGACCUGAGUAAUUUAUCUAUUAAUCAUCUUCAAAAAUAAUUAACUAAAUAGCACUUUCCAAAUAAAUAUGGCAGCAAUUCUCGUGAGCGCUAAAGUUUCUGUUUUUUACAGCAUGAUCAACAAGACUUUCCCCAAGUCUUCCCAACGGUUCUACUUGGCACAAAAACUAAUUAGAACAUAAAAACUCAAUAAUAACAGAGGCUAGAUAAAUUAUUUAUUACUAAGCAGGAGCAAAAAUCAAGGAACAAAAAUAAAGUUGGGUUGCCUCCCAACAAGCGCUAUCGUUUAAUACCCCUAGCUAGGCAUGAUGAUUUCAAUGAUGCUCACAUAAAAGAUUAGAAUUGAAACAUAAAGAGAGCAUCAUGAAGAAUAUGAUUAGAACAUUUAAGUCUAACCCUCUUCCUAUGCAUAGGGAUUUUGUGAGCAAAAAACUUGUGGGAACAAGAAUCAACUUGCAUAGGAAGGUAAAACAAGCAUAACUCCAAAAUUUUAAGCACAUAGGGAGGAAACUUGAUAUUAUUGCAAUUCCUACAAGUAUAUAUUCCUCCCUCAUAAUAAUUUUCAGUAGCAUCAUGAAUGAAUUCAACAAUAUAACCAGCACCUAGAGAAUUCUUUUCAUGAUCUUGAAGCAUAGAAAUUUUAUUACUCUCCACAUAAGCAAAAUUCUUCUCAUUCGGAAUAGUGGGAGUAUCAUAAGAAACUUGAAUACUAUAAAUUGUUUCCACAUUAAAAGAGUAAUGUUCAGAAAAAGGGUAACCAUAAUCAUGAAAUGUUUUAUAAAUAUAAUCACUACUUUUUAUAGCAUAAGUAUCAUCAGAAUAAUCAUCACAAGUAGGAGGCAUGCUAUCAUCAUUAUAAAUUUGCAUAUCAAAACUUGGGAGACUAAAAAUAUCAUCUUCAUUAAACGUAGCAUCCCCAAGCUUAGGACAAACAUUAAUUGCAGCAAAUAUAUUCUCAAAAACAUCAUCUUCAUCAAACAUAGCAUCCCCAAGCUUGGGCCUUUUCAUAUCAUAAGCAUAAUCACUCUCAUCAUUAAUAGUAUGGAUAGCACCAAUAGUAUAGCAAUUAUCAUAUUCUUCCAAGCAAGUGCCAAAAAGAUUUUCAAAAUCAUAAGAAGUAUCAUUAUCUUCCACAAUUAUAUUUUCAUAAGGCACAAUAGUAAUAGGAGCAGCAUUAUUUGGGGGAGAUAUCUUUUUACCUCUCUUCCUUUUUCUUCUCUUCUUCUUUACCACAUCAUGUGUGGGUUCAAUCCUCCUUUUGGAGCUCCUUAUUAAUGAGAUUGGUUGAAUAGGAGGCUCCUCCUCGUUACCUGAUUCAUCAUAAGAAAUAAUAGGAGGGUAUUGGGAAGUCUCUUCCCUUUCAUUAGUAUUCUCUUCAUCUUCUAUUUGUUUUCUUUUCUUUAUGUAAUUGGCAAUAUAAGGGUUUUCAAUGCAAUUCACCGCACAAUACAUAUAAAUUUCCUCUAGAUCAAAUCCAAGAAGUUUAUAACGGGCAAAUUCUGGAAGAUAGUUAGUUAUACGUUUCAUUUCUUCGUAGCCCAUAAGCAAACUAAGUUCAUUAUAAUGUGCAAGGGAAAUCAACUCAUCACAAUUUUUGGACACGAUUAGAUCAUGAAACAAUUUGCAUCGGAUAGUUAAAUGACCACGUUCAUUACAAAGCUCACAAGUAUGGCCAAGAAAUUUAAAUUUUCAGCACAAUCAUCUAGCCUUUCUUGCAACAAUUUAGUUUCUAAGUACUUAUGCCUCUUGCAAUAUCUAUCUUCCCUAUUUGGUGUGUACUUACAAACCCAAUGCACUCCACAAAAAUUGACAUGAAUAUAGGAGACAUUUUCAUCAUAACUAGUGCAAUCAUCAUUAGUAUCAUGGAUAUUCAAAGAAUUCGUACUAACAACAUUGCAAUCAUGCUCAUCAUUCAAAUAUUUAGUGCCAAACAUUUCAAUGCAUUCUUCUUCUAACACUUUGGCACAAUUUUCCUUUCCAUCAUACUCACAAAAGAUAUUAAAAAGAUGAAGCGUAUGAGGCAAACUCAAUUCCAUCUUUUAUAGUUUUCUUUUAUAAACUAAACUAGUGCUAAAACAAGAAACUAAAAGACUCGAUUGCAAGAUCUAAAGAAAUACCUUCAAGUGCUAACCUCCCCGGCAACGGCGCAAGAAAAGAGCUUGAUGUCUACUACACAACCUUAUUCUUGUAGACAUUGUUGGGCCUCCAAGUGCAGAGGUUUGUAGGACAGUAGCAAAUUUCCCUCAAGUGGAUGACCUAAGGUUUAUCAACCCGUAGGAGGCGUAGGAUGAAGAUGGUCUCUCUCAAGCAACCCUGCAACCAAAUAACAAAGAGUCUCUUGUGUACACAACACACCCAAUACAAUGGUAAAUUGUAUAGGUGCACUAGUUCGGCGAAGAGAUGGCGAUACAAGUGGUAUAUGGAUGGUAGAUAAAGGUUUUUGUAAUCUGAAAAUAUAAAAACAGCAAGGUAACGAAUGAUAAAAGUGAGCGUAAACGGUAUUGCAAUGCAUUGAAACAAGGCCUAGGGUUCAUACUUUCACUAGUGCAAGUUCCCUCAACAAUAAUAACAUAAUUGGAUCACAUAACCAUCCCUCAACAUGCAACCAAGAGUCACUCCAAAGUCACUAAUAGCGGAGAACGAACGAAGAGAUUAUGGUAGGGUACGAAACCACCUCAAAGUUAUUCUUUCCAAUCAAUCCAUUGGUCCAUUCCUAUAAAUGUCACAAACAACCCUAGAGUUCGUACUAGAAUAACACAUUAAUAUACAAAUCAACCAAAACCCUAAUGUCACCUAGAUACUCCAAUGUCACCUCAAGUAUCCGUGGGUAUUAUUAUACGAUAUGCAUCACACAAUCUCAGAUUCAUCUAUUCAACCAACACAUAGAACCUCAAAGAGUGCCCCAAAGUUUUUACUAGAGAAUCAUGACGAAAACGUGUGCCAACCCCUAUGCAUAGGUUCAUGGGCAGAACCCGCAAGUUGAUCACCAAAACAUACAUCAAGUGAAUCAUGUGGUAUCCCAUUGUCACCAUAGAUACACACGGCAAGACAUACAUCAAGUGUUCUCAAAUCAUUAAAGACUCAAUCCGAUAAGAUAACUUCAAAGGGAAAACUAAAUCCAUUACAAGAGAGUAGAGGGGGAAGAAACAUCAUAGGAUCCAAAUAUAAUAGCAAAGCUCGCGAUACAUCAAGAUCGUAUCACCUCAAGAACACGAGAGAGAGAGAGAGAGAUCAAACACAUGGCUAUUGGUACAUACCCUCAGCCCCGAGGGAGAAUUACUCCCUCCUCGUCAUGGAGAGCACCGGGAUGAUGAAGAUAGCUACCAGAGAGGGAUUCCCCCUCCGACAGGGUGCCAGAAUGGGUCUAGAUUGGUUUUCGGUGGCUACGGAGGCUUCUGGCGGUGGAACUCCCGAUCUAUUAUGCUCCCCGAUCGUUUUAGGGUAUAUGGGUAUAUAUGGGAGGAAGAAGUAUGUCGGUGGACUUCCGGGCUGCCCACGAGGUAGGGGGCGCGCCCUCCACCCUCGUGGGCAGCCCGAGACUCUCCUCGUGCAACUCCGGUACUCCGUGGGCUUCUUCUGGUCCAAAAAUAAGUUCCGUGAAGUUUCAGGUCAAUUGGACUCCGUUUGAUUUUCCUUUUCUUCGAUACUCUAAAACAAGGAAAAAAACUGGCACUGGGCUCUAGGUUAGUAGGUUUGUCCCAAAAAUAAUAUAAAAGUGUAUAAUAAAGCCCAUAAACAUCCAAAACAGAUAAUAUAAUAGCAUGGAACAAUCAAAAAUUAUAGAUACGUCGGAGACGUAUCAAUGUCCUCGAAUGAGUAAAUUAUGCAACCAACAUGCUCACACAAUAAAAUGGCAAAUGAAAUAUGUGGCAAAGCAUGCACAACCAAUUCUAGCAUCUAUCAAGCAAUUGGCGAUGACUAGGUCAUCUGUAUAUGAGUAUAUUGACUUAGGAGUCAAAUGAGAACAUUUGAUCAUAGGUCAUACUCAUCGUUUAAGCACAAGUGGGGUUACUGAUGUCUACUACACAACCUUCUUCUUGUAGACGUUGUUGGGCCUCCAAGUGCAGAGGUUUGUAGGAUAGUAGCAAAUUUCCCUCAAGUGGAUGACCUAAGGUUUAUCAAUCCGUAGGAGGCGUAGGUUGAAGAUGGUCUCUCUCAAGCAACCCUACAACCAAAUAACAAAGAGUCUCUUGUGUCCCCAACACACCCAAUACAAUGGUAAAUUGUAUAGGUGCACUAGUUCGCCGAAGAGAUGGUGAUACAAGUGGUAUAUGGAUAGUAGAUAAAGGUAUUUGUAAUCUGAAAUUAUAAAAACAGCAAGGUAACAAAUGAUAAAAGUGAGCGUAAGCGGUAUUGCAAUGCUAGGAAACAAGGCAUAGGGUUCAUACUUUCGCUAGUGUAAGUCCUCUCAACAAUACUAACAUAAUUGGAUCACAUAACUAUCCCUCAACAUGCAACAAAGAGUCACUCCAAAGUCACUAAUAGCAGAGAAUGAACAAAGAGAUUAUGGUAGGGUAUGAAACCACCUCAAAGUUAUUCUUUCCAAUCAAUCCAUUGGGCUAUUCCUAUAAGUGUCACAAACAGCCCUAGAGUUCGUACUAGAAUAACACCUUAAGACACAAAUCAAUCAAAACCCUAAUGUCACCUAGAUACUCCAAUGUCACCUCAAGUAUCUGUGGGUAUGAUUAUAUGAUAUGCAUCACACAAUCUCAGAUUCAUCUAUUCAACCAACACAAAGGACCUCAAAGAGUGCCCCAAAGUUCUACCGGAGAAUCACGACGAAAAUGUGUGCCAACCCCUAUGCAUAGGUUCAUGGGCGGAACCCGCAAGUUGAUCACCAAAACAUACAUCAAAUGAAUCACGUGAUAUCCCAUUGUCACCACAGAUAUCCACGACAAGACAUACAUCAAGUGUUCUCAAAUCUUUAAAGACUCAAUCCGAUAAGAUUACUUCAAAGGGGAAACUCAAUUCAUUGCAAGAGAGAAGAGGGGGAGGAGAAACAUAAGAUCCAACUAUAAUAGCAAAGCUCGCGAUACAUCAAGAUCGUAUCACCUGAAGAACACGAGAGAGAGAUCAAACACAUAGCUACUGGUACAUACCUUCAGUCCCGAGGGAGAACUACUCCCUCCUCGUCAUGGAGAGCGCCGGGAUGAUGAAGAUGGCCACCGGAGAAGGAUUUCCCCCUCCGGCAGGGUGCCGGAAUGGGUCUAGAUUGGUUUUGAUGGCUACGGAGGCUUCUGGCGGUGGAACUCCCGAUCUAAUCUCCGUUUUGAAGUUUUUAGGGUACGUGGAGUUAUAUAGGCAGAAGAAGUUCGUCAGGGGUGCCACGAGGGCCCCACGAGGUAGGGGGGCGCGCCCUAGGGGGGUGGGCGCCCCCACCCUUGUGGCUUCCUCGUUCCUUCCUUGACGUGGGGUCCAUGUCCAUCGGGUGGCUUUCGUUCGAAAAAUAACUUCUCUAGUUGAUUUGGUUCCGUUUCGACUCCGUCUGAUAUUCCUUUUCUUCAGAACACUGAAAUAGGCAAAAAAACAACAAAUCUGGGCUGGGCCUCCGGUUAAUAGGUUAGUCCCAAAAGUUAUAUAAAAGUGGGAAAUAAAGCCCAAUAUUGCCCAAAAUAGUAGAUAAUAUAGCAUGGAGCAAUCAAAAAUUAUAGAUAUGUUGGAGACGUAUCAAGCAUCCCCAAGCUUAAUUCCUGCUCGUCCUCGAGUAGCUAAAUGAUAAAAACAAAAUUUUUGAUGCGGAGUGCUACUUGGAAUAAUUUCAAUGUAAUUCUUCUUAAUUGUGGUAUGAAUUUUCCGAUCCGAAAGAUUCAAGACAAAAGUUCACAUUGACAUAGAAAUGAUAAUACUUCAAGCAUACUAACUAAGCAAUUAUGUCUUCUCAAAAUAACAUGGCCAAAGAAAGUUCAUCCCUACAAAAUCAUAUAGUUUAGUCAUGUUUCAUUUUCGUCACACAAGAAUGCUGUCAUCAUGCAUAACCCCGAUUACAAGCCAAGCAAUUGUUUCAUACUUUAGUAAUCUCAAACUCAUAAACUUUCACGCAAUACAUGAGCGCGAGCCAUGGAUAUAGCACUAUGGGUGGAAUAGAAUAUAAUGAGGGGGGUUAUGUGGAGAAGACAAAAAGGAGAAAGUCUCACAUCAACGAGGCUAAUCAAUGGGCUAUGGAGAUGCCCACCGAUUGAUGUUAAUGCAAGGAGUAGGGAUUGCCAUGCAAUGGAUGCACUAGAGCUAUAAAUGUAUGAAAGCUCAACAAAAGAAACUAAGUGGGUGUGCAUCCAACUUGCUUGCUCACGAAGACCUAGGGAACUUGAGGAGGCCCAUUGUUGGAAUAUACAAGCCAAGUUCUAUAAUGAAAAAAUUCCCACUAGUAUAUGAAAGUGACAGAACAAGAGACUCUCUAUCAUAAAGACCAUGGUGCUACUUUGAAGCACAAGUGUGGAAAAAGGAUAGUAGCAUUGUCCCUUUUAUUUUAUUUUUUUAUUUCUAUUUGGCCUUUCUUUUUUGGCCUUUUUUAUUUGGCCUUCCUUUUUUUAUUUGGCCUUUCUCUUUUUUUGGGACAAUGCUCUAUUGAAUGAUGAUCAUCACACUUCUAUUUAUUUACAACUCAAUGAUUACAACUCGAUACUAGAACAAAGUAUGACUCUAUAUGAAUGCCUCCGGCGGUGUACCGGGAUGUGCAAUGACUCAUGAGUGACAUGUAUGGAAGAAAAAUUAUGAACGGUGGCUUUGCCACAAAUACUUAUGUCAACUACAUGAUCAUGCUAAGCAAUAUGACAAUGAUGAAUGUGUCAUGAUAAACUGGAUGGUGGAAAGUUGCAUGGCAAUAUAUCUCGGGAUGGCUAUGGAAAUGCCAUAAUAGGUAGGUAUGGUGGCUGUUUUGAGGAAGAUAUAAGGAGGUUUAUGUGUGACAGAGCGUAUCAUAUCACGGGGUUUGGAUGCACCGGCGAAGUUUGCCCCAACUCUCAAUGUGAGAAAGGGCAAUGCACGGUACCGAAGAGGCUAGCAAGGAUGGAAGGGUGAGAGUGCGUAUAAUCCAUGGACUCAACAUUAGUCAUAAAGAACUCACAUACUUAUUGAAAAAAUCUACAAGUCAUCAAAAACCUUGGCACUACAUGCAUGCUCCCAGGGGGAUAGAUUGGUAGGAAAAGACCAUCGCUCAUCCCCGACCGCCACUCAUAAGGAAGACAAUCAAAUAACACCUCAUGUUUCAAAUUUGUUACACAACGUUUACCAUACGUGCAUGCUACAGGACUUGCAAACUUCAACACAAGCAUUUCUCAAAUUCACAACUACUCAACUAUCAUGACUUUGAUAUUAUUACCUCCAUAUCUCAAAACAAUCAUCAAGCAUCAAACUUCUCUUAGUAUUCAACACACUCAUAAGAGAUUUUUUUUAUUAAUCUUGCAUACCAAGCAUAUUGGGAUUUUAAGCGAAUUACCAUGCUAUUAAGACUCUCAAAAUAAUCUAUGUGAAUCAUGAGAGUUCAUCUAUUUCUUCAAAAUAAAACCACCACCGUGCUCUAAAAAGAUAUAAGUGAAGCACUAGAGCAAAUGACAAACUACUCCAAAAGAUAUAAGUGAAGAUCAAUGAGUAGUCGAAUAAUUAUGCAACUAUGUGAAGACUCUCUAACAUUUAAUAAUUUCAGAUCUUGGUAUUUUAUUCAAACAACAAGCAAAACUAAAUAAAAUGACAUCUAAGAAUAUCAAACAUCAUGUGAAGAAGCAAAAACUUAGGAUCAACCGAUACUAACCGAUAGUUGUUGAAGAAGAAAGGUGGGAUGCCAACCGGGGAAUCCCCAAGCUUAGACGCUUGAGACUUCUUGAAAUAUUAUCUUGGGGUGCCUUGGGCAUCCCCAAGCUUGAGCUUUUGUGUCUCCUUAAUUCCUCUCAUAUCACGGUCUCCCUAAAUCUCAAAAGCUUCAUCCACACAAAACUCAACAAGGACUCGUGAGAUAAGUUAGUAUAAACCAUUGCAAAAACCUUAUCAUACUCUACCGUAGCAAAUCACUAAAAUUAUUAUUCAAAAUUGCAUACUAAAUGCCUCUGCAUAUUUAAUAGUCCUAUCCUCAAAUAGAAUCAUUAAAGAAGCAAACAUAUGCAAACAAUGCAAACAUAACAGC
rnacentral:lncRNA from 1 species